rnacentral:lncRNA from 1 species
AGAGACUCGACGUUAUGGGAAGAUCCAACAAGUUUUAAGCCUGAGAGGUAUGGAAAUGGAGAGAGGGAAUCAAACAAGCUGAUGCCUUUUGGAUUAGGAAGAAGGGCAUGUCCUGGAGCUGGCUUGGCUCAACGAGUUGUGGGCUUGACCUUGGGUUCAUUGAUCCAAUGUUUUGAAUGGGAAAGAGUUAGUGAGAAAGAAGUUGACAUGGCUGAAAGUGAUGGAACCACCAUGCCUAAAGUGGUGGCAUUAGAAGCCAUGUGUAAAGCUCGUCCCAUUGUCAACAAGGUUCUCAACGGAACUAUUUAACAUGGUUUUAUAUUUCUAAGCAGCUCUCCAAUAUAUACAAUUUGUGCAAUGUGUAAUAAUAAGGGUUAUCUCUCGUUAUGUGUGUAGCUUAAGCUUCAACAGAGCCUUCAUAUGUAUAAAAAAAUAUAUCUUUAAUAAGAUUUUAUUAUCUCCCCAUAUGAAUCCUCCUUCAAUAAUUAUUUGUAGAAGAAUUCCUUUAUUGAAUAAUAUCAUCGUCACAUAUUCUUGCUGGUGAUUUCACUAAACAAAGUUUGUCGAUGCCUAGUCAAGGAAAAAAUUGCCUCAAUUAUAAGAUGAAGGUCUUAGGUAAAUCUUAACUUUAAGAUGAUUAUUUUAAGAUAUAUAUAUAUAUAUUUAUAAUUGAAAGUAAAAAGAGUUAAGAAAUUGAAAAGCUUGCCCUAUUGUGAAUAAAGUUCUUCAUAAAAUUAUUGAUAAUGAUUAUUAAUUCUUAAAUUAAAUUGAAAACAAAUAUUUAUUUACAAUUUUAUCAAAGUAUUUUGUGUUUUAUAUUAUAAUUUUUUUUGUUUAAAGUAAAAAACUAAUAACAAACGUGACAACUAAAGAGAGAUCGAUAAAUCAUAAAAAUAUGUUCAAAUCUUUGACUUUUUACACAAUAAAAUAUGUUCAAGAUAUAUCAAUUACGUAAUUCAGAAUGAAACAUGAUUACUAUAAAGAUAAUUAUAAUGUCAAAGUAUAAUCUUCUCGUGCUUAAACAUUUAGUUAAAUAUUAAAUAUAGUACAAUUUUCAACAAAAAUAUUAAAUAUAGUAUGUAUUGUUUAAAAAAUUAAAAAAAAAAAAAAAGAAAAAAAGUCAUAAGUGUUUCCUAAGUAGCAUGUGAAGAUGUGGUCAAAAAAUAUGGAGAGGUGAGUUGAUGGACUGAAGCAUGAGAGAGAGGAAAUUGACGGUUGAUAAAGAAGUAACAAUCAAAGAGAGGAAGUUUCAAUCAUAGAAAGGUAUCCCUCUUCUCUUUUGCUAGAAGAGUAUCAUGUAUGUGCUAAUGCCUGGUUGAGCACGUUGUAUAACAUUAAUUAACAGCCAUGGCAGCCGCCAUUUCUUAAUGGUUUUUUUUUUAAAAAUAAGCCUUAUGCAUAAGGCUUUUUUAAAAAUAGGCAUUUUCAUAAUUUGAAGUGUUUUUAACCAAGAGAAAUAAAAUUGGGACAAAAUUAUCCUUAAUGAAACCGAUCCAUAUGUUUGGCUCCGCACCUCAACCUGAACCAUAAAAACGGGCCAAGCAUGUUUACAAGCUUUGUAACUUCUCAAUUCUCAUCGACAAACCAUACAUCUCCUUACAAAGCAUUCUCUCGAAAACAUUCAUUGUUGGUUCAACUGUCGAGCAUUUUGAUCCGUGAUAGAAGCAUUUUGAAGUGGUUUUUCGCAUAAAGAUAGUUCACAUAUUGAGUAGUGAGAGGAAGUUCACAUUUCGCGAAAAAAGGUAGGCAUAUAUUUUUAUUUUUAUUUUUAACCAUGUGGAGAAAGGUUUUGGGCUAUUCUUAUCCUUCAUGUUAUUCAUUUAUGGUUUUUGAGCAUAAACAUAGGCAUAUUGCAUGUUCAUAUUGAUAUUCUUGUUAUUUGAAAUUACUGAAUAUUAAUUUGAAGUUGGUAUUGUUGGUGUUUUUUGGGUCGAAAGUGUUAGUAUAAGCCCUACAAGCAAUCUGUGGUUGUAUGGGAAUUGCAAUUUUGAUAUAUUCAUGUAUGAAAUUUUGUUAUUCAUAAUAACAUUGAAGUAGUUCUUUAUCCAUAAAUUUGUAAUUUAAUUAUUUUUUUGUACUUAUUUAGAUAAAGCCCAUAGAACUAUAUAUGCCUUGCAAAAGAAUUGUAUUGGGAUACAAUUAUGAGAUCGAUAUGCAUUAAAGCAUGUUCCUAAAAGUUUCUGAUCAUUGUAUUAUUGAGACAGGGCAUCAAUAAUGCUCAAAGAUUGGCACAUGUUAUAUUCCUUACUUAUGAAGUAAGCAAUCGUUCUCAUAGGUUGAAGUAUAAAAAUACUUGAAACUAGCAUGUGGAUGCUUGCCAUGGGAGAGCGAGUUCACUGAACAUGACUCGGCAUGAGAAAUGCAUUUGGUAUUUCACUCAAGUGUCUAUGCAAUACUUCUCAUGUGUCAGUUGUAUAAAUACUCCCUAGACUUGAGACACCAGGUUUUCUUAUGUGUGGAGUUCUAUACUUUUAUUUCAUUCAUAUGGGUGCCUAACCAAGGAUGCCAAAACAGGACGCUUUUGGGUAUAGCAUGAGGCAUGUGAAGGCAGAUGAGUGGUCAAGAUAGGAAUCAUCACCCCAAGUGAUUCAAGAGGAAAUAUCUCAUUAGUUCUUGGUUAAUAUUAGCUUAAUCAAAUCCUUGGCCAAGGUGAUUAGGAGAUUAUGAAAUGAGUUUCAUAAGUCUCCAUAAAACUAAUGAUUUAACUGCAAGAACAAAUAUGGAGAUCAAUAAGAGUAAGCACUGCACCAAGCUCUUAUUAUCUUCUGGAAAUAUGAUGAGGGAAUGAAUUAUACUAAAAAACUGUACACUGAAAGGUUGUCAAAGAAUCCUUUGACUCUCUUAACAAUUCGGUGGCCAUGAUGCAUUGCUAGAUGCCAAUCAUGGUCUAUGGAAUUGAAUUAGUUAAUUUACAAUUGAAUAUGAUUCAUUUAAAUUAAUUAAUUAAUAAUAUUAUAAUUCAAUUCCAUUGUCAACAUGUUAGGAACCUAAUGGGUCACACACAAAGGUUACAAUUUGGAUUAAAUUGAGAGUGUGAUGAUUUAAGUUAAACUUAAAUCAAAUUCUAGGUUUUAACUAUUAAGGACCUAAUUAAAAGAGUUUAAUUAGGUAUUGGUUAAAUAUUAUAAUUGUUAUAAUAUUAAGGACUUAUUUUGUAAAUUUUAAUAAGUUAAACGUAGAUAUAAAUAUCACAUUAUAGCCACUCUUUUUUUUGUGGAGAAGGAUUUUUCUCUUGAGUGCUGCCACUCUUGAGACGUUUAUUUUUCUUUUGAAAACUUCUCCUUUGAUUCUUUAUUAGAAAUCAAAGAAGAAAAGAGGACAAAUCGUUGUCCACUUGCUAGCACAAGCCCGUGGCAUAAAGCUCUCUCCUUGAGAAGGAUAUGUUGUAAUCGUGUGUGCAUCAUUGGAGGCCAAGCAAUUGAGUGGCUAGGAUUCUUUCACACCAAAGGUGUUCGUGUUUUGUCACUAAAAGGAAUCCAUUUGAUUACGAUAUCACUUAGAAAGGUACAUUCUUUUUCUGGUUUUAUGUGGUACAUAACUUUGCAUUAAACAACCAAGGUGAUCCAAAGGUAGGAGGCAUGGUUUAUUUUUAUUUCAACCCUUUUUUUAUUUCGCUGCAUUGAUGCUUCAAUCAUGCCGUUCCUAGCAGAAAGGUGAUAGGGCAUGCAUGAUUGGUUGAUAGGAAUUGAGUUUAGGGUUUAGGUAUUGCGUGAUUGAGGGUUUGCGUGAGUGGUUAACACUUUAUGCAUGACUGAAUUUAGGCAUGGCGUCACUUAGGAUGUGUGUGAUUGGGUUAGGCAUUGCAUUUAGGGAUUUGGCAUUAUGUGACUGGUUGAUAAGUCAUUGUUUGAUUAGUUGAUAGGUUAUUACAUGACUAGUUCAAAAGGUUAAUAGAAUAUUGGAUAGCCAAUUUUAUUAAAGUUUUACAAUGAUUUUUCCUUUUAGCACCUUGGAAAAAACUUAUCAUCACAAGAAGCAAAUCAUAUUUCGCCAUCACCAGAUGUUGAAAUGUGUUUGAAUUAUUUUCCUCAAACACUUGAACCUUAACAUGAGAAAAUCAUGCAAGCCUUGAAAGAAUAUAAAGAAUGUAUCCUUGUCCCUUAUGAAUGAUCACAAAAUCUUUGGGAAUAUGGUGAAAUAUCGCAAAAAAGAUCUUUCAAGGAAAAUUUUUGCAAAAAUAUCUAUUAAUAGAACUCACAGUAGAAUCUUAAUGAAUAAAAAACAAAAAGCAUGUCAUAUUUGUCACAAGACAUGCAUGACUGGUUGAUAGGCAUGCGUGAUUGUUUGAUAGUAAUUGGGUUUAGGGAUUUUGGGUUUAGGUGGCUAAGGUUUGCAUGAGUGGUUAACAUCUUAUGCAUAACUGGUUUUAGGUAUAGCAUCACUUAUGGUGUGUGUGAUUGGUUAGGCAUUGCGUUUAGGGGUUUGGCAUUACGUGACUGGUUGAUAGAUUAUUGCGUAACUGGUUGAUAAGUUAUUGCUUUACUAGUUGAUAGGUCAUUGAGUGACUAGUUCAUAGGAUCAAUAGAAUAUUGGAUAGCCAAUUUUGAUGAAGUUCCACAAUGAUCUUUCCUCUUAGCAUCGUGAAAAGAACUCAUCAUCACAAGAAGAAGAUCAUAUUUGGCCAUCACCAGAUGUUGAAAUGUGUUUGGAUUAUUUUCCUUAAACACUUGAACCUUAACAUGAGAAAAUCAUGCAAGCUUUGAAAGAAUACAAAGAAUGUAUCCCUGACCCUUCUGAAUGAUCACAAAAUCCUUAGGAAUAUGGGGAAAUCUCAUAGAAAAGAUCUUUCAAGGAAAAUUUUUGUAAAAAUAUCUGCUAACAGAACUCACGGUAGAAUUUCAAUGAAUAAAAAACAAAAACCAUGUCAUAUCUGUCACAAGACAUGCAUGACUGGUUGAUAAGCAUGCAUGACUAUUUGAUAGGGAAUUGGGUUUAAGGGUUUAGGUGACUAAAGGUUUGCGUGAGUGGUUGACACAUUAUGCAUGACUGGUUUUAGACAUGGCGCCACUUAAGGCAUGUGUGAUUGGUUAGGCAUUGCAUUUAGGGGUUUGGCAUUGCGUGACUAAUUGAUAGGUUUACUGGUUGAUAGGUCAUUGCGUGACUAGUUCAUAGAAUCAAUAGAAUAUUGGAUAGCCAAUUUUGAUGAAGUUCUACAAUGAUGUUUCCUCUUAACAUCAAGAAAAGAACUCAUCAUCUCAAGAAGAAUAUCAUAUUUGGCCAUCACCAAAUGUUGAAAUGUGUUUGGAUUAUUUUCCUCAAACACUUGAACCUUACCAUGAGAAAAUCAUGCAAGCCUUGAAAGAAUAUAAUGAAUGUAUCCUUAACCCGUAUGUAUGAUCACAAAAUCUUUGGGAAUAUAGGGAAAUCUCGCAUAAAAGGUCUCGUAUAAAUCACGCUUGAUAUGUAAAUGCAAAAAUACAUUCGAUUACCACUUAAUCGCGGUAUCGAUUAAAUUCGACCGAUCACCCAAUUAAUUGGCGGUUGUGUCCAAAUCACCUCUAAAUUAAUUCAUUUUUCCUCUAAUAUCUUAAUUUACCACAUACCAUUUAAAUAAAGCCAAAUUCAGCAUUAGAACCUUCACAGUUCCUUAUAGAAAAAUUCGAUCAUUUGGUGCACUAGCACCGAAAUUUUUUUCUACAUAACUGUUUCACAUUAAUUCAUCAUUUUCCAAGCCAUUUUCCUUGGAAUAAAAACAAUUACCCAUUGAUAUUCAGCCCUCAUGGUUCGACCAACAAGGAACCCUAGAGCAAUUGAAUAUUUCUUUUGUAUUUUUGUUCAUAACCAUGCUUAACUAUCCCUAAACACUAACAUAGUCUAAAAUCAAGUUAUUCCAACAACAAUUCCUCUUCCAUACCCAUUUUUCAAAAUUGAAUUCAUCAUGAUAACUCAAUAUUCAACCAUGGAAAUCAAGAACAAAAGCAUGGGUAAGCUAGGUAUCAAGAAGAAUUAAAGAAAUUUUAACCUACCUAGCUUGUUUCCUUGAUUUCUUAACUUUUUCUUUGAAUUUCCACCUAGGUUUUCUUGUUUUUCCCUUUGUUCUUCCUUUUUUCUUGUUGCUGGUUGUCUAGGCCGAGUAUGGUGAGAGAAUUGGAGAUUUAAUGGGCUGAUUUCUAUAGAAAAUAAUAAAAUAAUCAAGCAUGCCAUGUGUCACAUGCUUAUUGGCUCAAUUUUUAACUUUUUGACUUUUUCUUCUUAAUUUUCCACCACAAUUAUUCUGGUAUUUAUCCAAUCCUACCACAUUUAAAAUCCCUUGGUCUUGACAAGUGCUGGGGUGAAAAAUUUACCGAUUUACCCCCAAGGUGAAAAAAUUAUGAUUUUGCCCCUAUACUCCGAAAUGUAUCGAAAUUACAUUAUUUCUACUUUUCAACCUCAAAUAACACUAAUAUUGAUCAAUAUUAACCAAAUGGGGCAAAAAAAAUCAUUUUUUUAAUUCCCGUUUAGUCCUCUAAUGGAAAAAUUACCAUUUUGCCCUUGUACUCCAAAAAUACCGAGAAUCAUAAUUUUUCAUUGCUAAACAUCAUUUUAUACUCCAAUAAUCAUAAUUAUAUUUCAUAUAAUUAUUCUUGGUCAAAUGUGAUCAAAUCUUGGCUAGAAAUCUCCAUUUAAUCAUCAAAUGGUAAAAUGAUUGUUUUGUCCCGAAUCGAUCAAUUUUCCUGAUGGACUCCAACUGGACCUUAAACUCUGAAUCACUAUUCUAAGCCAUUCUGUGGGUUUCAAAAUUUUCAAUUUUCUCUUAGAAUUUCUAUUUGAACUAGUUCAAGGCUCAAUUUAACUUAGUUGUACCACUCGGUAUAAUACCGUCUUUUAAUCGAGCUUGAUAGGGUCUUAGAUAAUGUAAGUAAUUGCGUGACUGUUAUCUGUAUGGAAGUGUGUGUGAGUGUUAUAGGUACUUCAUUGCAUGAAUUUUAUCUAUAUAGCAUUGCAUGACCGUCAUUACAUUCAUUCUGUAUUAUUUUGGCUCAACUGUAAUGGUUUAAUAUGUAUAUGUUGAUUUACUUAAUAAUCCAUACUUCACACGUGCAUUAAUUUUGUUUUAGGAUAUGCAAAGAUUGUAAGAACUAGUUAUUGUUUUUUUAAUCUUCAUUGAUCAUAUUUACUAAAAUGGAAAUGUUAUUUAUUUUAUGUUGCAGAUAGCCAAAACAAGAACAGAGCAGAAGAAUGUGGAAGCUUUGCUUUGUGUGCGAAGGGACCAGUGGGGCUUUAACGCUGGCAUUAACAUUCAUUAUAAGUGGACGCAUCUGCAUGUCAUACGUGAGAUGUUGCGAAAAGUAAAUGAGUUGGAAGAAAUAAAGAGAACAUGCUUCAAGUAUCUAAUAAAUGUCAAAUCAAACAAGAGUUUAUACUACACUAAUCUCAUGCACAACCUAAUGCUGCACAGAAUCAAUCAACCUACCACCAUCGAGCGUGAGUUAUGGUUUGCCAUAAGCUAAACGAAGGCUCGAUUCUCGAAGCAUGAGUUCUGCCUGGUGAUAAGAUUGAAGUUUGGUACCUUGUUAGCCAUUAUUAUCAAUCCCUACGAGGCCGCCCUCGGAGGAAUUCACAAGUGAUAUUGAGGAGCGGGGAACGAGGUAAAGAUAUAACAAGUAUUAGAGACGUUCAAGAGAAGGUAGUUUUAGUUGUAUGGAGAUUGGACAAAGAUUGCCCUCAUCUUGAUCGUGAGCAAUGUUUUAUUUAGUCAAGACAACAGACAAGUAGUGAUUUCGUGGUUGUUGUCGCUGGUUUAGAACAUUGACCAGCGAAAUGCAUUCCCAUGAGGCACCUACGAAUGAAGUCUAACUGUGGAUUACUUGUUGAGGGGCUUCGAACCUCUAUUGGUGGGAGCAAAAGAAAAGAAACGUUACCAUCUAUACGAAUUUGUAAGGGGUUUCAAGUAGUGUGCCCUACCCUAAGGUUUUUCAUUUUUCUUUUUGCAUAAAAUUUUAUGAAACGAGUAAAAUGUUUUACAAUUGAUAUGCAAUUUUAGGUGUUGGAGGCGAUUCAUGAUAUUAAAAGCUAGUUUGAAAGGCAACGUCAGUCUAGACAGGUUUGUCCAAGAAUGCUGAAUUGGCAUUGUGACGAGAGGCCUAUAGGCUUCCACAUCAAUAUUGCAAGUUCGGAAAGGGAAGGCAAGGUGAGUCACGAAACCAUAAUGUUUUUAUUUUAUUUAAUUUUUUUGUCAUAUGUUAACUACCUUUCAACCUAAUGGCAAUGUAUGUUUUGGUGUAGUUACGCACAGUCGGGACAUUGAGCCAGCUACGGAAGAGAUGUUGAUAGCAUAUUGGGCCGAUGUUGAUGUCAAUAUCUCCAAAAGGCAACAAUACAUUCCAUUAUGAAGGGCAAAAGAGGAAGAUAAUGAACUGCAAAUAGAAAAGUGUGGUAAGAAGAGGCGUUAAGUGGAGUCACACCACAUAUGAGGAGGUUUAUGCCCAUUUUGGUGUUGCUGAAGCUCUUGGUGUUACUGAAGUGCUUGAUUUUCCUUUUGCUCAGAUACGCAACCCAUUGUUGCAUCCUCAAAUGACUAUAGGCUUUAAGUGCAAGAUGAAACGGAUGAGGACGUAGUGGAAGAAAAACCUACAGUCAAUAUAGAUAGAGAUGUAAAUGGACAUGUAGAUGCAGAUACAGUCCUUGCGGAUAGAGGUUCGGCUAGACAUUCAAAUGCAUAUACAGUCAAUGCAAUUGGAGAUCUAGCAGGAGAUGCAGCCACAGAUGCAAUCAAUGCAGCUAGAUAUCCAGUAAUCAAUGCAAGGGCUGGAGAAUUGGAUUGUUCGUAGACUGAUCGACUGUUAUUAGUUAUGACAUUCUAUCAUUUUUCAUUGUGUGAGUUAUAACAUUUACGAUUCAUUUGAUGUUUUAAUGUGUUUGAUUUUUGUCACUGUGUGGAAUCAGUCGAUUGGUGAACAGGAUGGUGUGUGCAAUUAGGAAGGCUACAGUAGUGGGGUUGAUCUUGAUGAGGUAGCUGGCAUAAAUCAGGCAAUUGCAUCGCCUCAAAGCUCACCUCUCUCUAUGUUGUUGAUUUCUCACACAAGUGCACGUAUCGCUAACAAGUAAUAUAGAAAUGAAUAGUAUCAUUCUCACGGAGAAUUGUUUUAAUUCCUACUAUUAACUACUAAAAUUAACACACCUUAAUUUUAUUCAAACAACUAAAUUUUAAAAUUAUUAAAAAGAAAAUUAAAACUACUAAACUGAAACUUCAAUCAACUACCAGACCUAAGAUUAUGAUAUCCCUCAAUACUUCAUUUGAUUAUUUGUCUCUCUCUCUCUUAACUCAGUUUAAUGAAUUAAGUUGCUAACCUAGAGUCCUAAAUUAGUUACAAGUUUUUAUCGAGUUUCUCAUAAAAAUAACUAUCCUAAUUAAUUUACUAUAUGUCUAUGCAAAUUAAAUUGAAGAAAGAUUAAUUAAGUUUGUGCUCUAAUCCUGGCUAUGUAUGACUUAUAGGUGUAUGUCUACCCUAUAUGUAAAUCAAAUCACCUAAUCAAUUAAGUUCAUUCGAUCAUAUGCUAUUCUAUUUAAGGUCUACCUAAAUCUCUUUCGUCAAAGUUUAACCUAGGUUUCCAAUUAAAUCUAAUUGGUGAUCAUGCAAUUAGAAGCAUUAAGAAUAAAAUAAAAUAAAUAACCUAAAUCUAUCCAACAUAAUCAAAAGAGAUAUAAAUAAUUUACACUACAUAAUGAGUUCAAUCAUAAUCUUAGAUAAAAAAUUUAGUUCCCUAUCAAGUCACACAUCAUCAUUGAAUAAAGUUUAAACAAUAAAAACAAACUAAGAAAAUAAAAGAAUAAUAAAAAAGAUAAAACUCAAGAAUUAUAAUCUUGAUCUUCAAAGUCUUCUUAAAUCCUUCAAAAUCUUCUUAGCUUCAAUGACUUUAUAGCUUGACUCUCAACUUUCAAUCUAGUGUUUCUCCUCGUUCUCUUCUUUUUAAAAGUCUUUCGAAAGGUUGGUUUUAUAGGCUUUAAAGUUAGGCCAAGUUGGGUGAAGAAAGAAGUCACAAUUCCAGCUAGGAUUUUCUCAUCAGACUAUGUAGGUCAUAGCCUUGCUCAAUUAAUUAAUAGAAAUAGUAAUUACUCUAAGACUGCUAUAGUACAUCAAGUUUGACAAGAGUUUUAACUACCUUUCAAGUCAAACUAGGUAAAAUAAUAAACAUAAAAUCGUAUAUUUUUCUUUUAUCUUUCUAAUGGUCCAAGAAUCGCUUCAUUUGGAGCUCUGUAGAAAACGUUAUAGCCAAAAUACCGAAAUAUGUGUAGUGUAAGUUUGCAUAUUGAAAUUGCUCUCCUUAUUUCACUAAAAUUCUUCUUUUAUCAAAUACCUACAAAAGCACAAAUAAAUUAAUAACAACCUAUCUUAACCACAUUAACACCAAAUUAAUCAUAAAAUUAACUAAGAUUAGAUUGACUCACCUAAAAUAACUAAUUUAAAAUAAUUAAAUAAAAUCUACUAAUUUCUAUGCAUUACUACAAGAAUUAAGCUAAAUUACUAUCAAAAUUAAGCCCAAAUAGCUCUACAUUAUAGAGUUAUCACUCUACCCUAAUCAAAAAUCAUCCUAAAAUCGUAAAUGCAACCGAGGCCUCACAUCUUGUGAAUAGUCCAAUUACAACUUCCCCAUAUCUUGCUUGUGUCCUAACCCCACCAGAAGCCCCCCCGGCAGUGUUAGAGCGCACCUUCUCCUGAGGCUCUACCUCAACCUGAAGUCAAAGAUGCGCGUGUGAGUAUGGCUAGCAGAUACGUACAAAGCCCAUACGUUAACUCACUAUUAGUCUAGUGCAAAGUAAAGUAUACUUUGAAGGAUGGAUAUGAGUCCUUCAUGAAAAACGAGCAAGCCAGGUAAAAUGAUAACAUUACACGAUAUUAGGAUUAACGGUUUGAAAUUAUUGAAUCCAUCGACCUUUUGAAGCGAGUAUUUUAUAUAUGCAGGGUUAACAUUCUAGGCAUCGUAGGGCAGAAGGGCCUUGAAUUUUUACACUGUUUGAAAAAGGCAGAAUGAGUGGUUGGACAACCAACACAUUGACGCAUGCAUCAGCAUCAUGUGUAAGCGGAAGCGAGAGCACCAUCUAUAACUCUACAAGCAGAAAAUAUACAUUCUUAACACCUACUUUUAUGUAAAUAUAUUUUAAUGAGUUGUAAUUAUUAAAAUAUGUGUUUAGGACUUUUGUUCAUGGCAUCUAACCAUUGAAUGUAACUUAAUUCACAGCUUAUUUUGCUGGGCUUGAGCAAUGAAAUAAAACCUUCCCUGGUUAAUAAGACCUUCAAGCCGAUCGAAGGCGAUUUUGUCAGAACUUCUACUUGAAUAUGCGAGGGUGGGAGUCCACUGUGGGGUUUGCCAUGGCAUGAGGUGGACUCAAUUCUCGUACCGUGCCAUUUUGACGACCAGUAGGUGUUAGUGCAUAUCAACUUGCUAAAAUGGAGUAUGACGUUAGUUGACUCAUCGUACAAUCAGAGAGAUGCAAUUAAAUCCAGCUUGCGUGUCAAGCCCGACCUUAUAAAAUACUUGCCAUGUCAUUCAUGUGAUUGACAAUAUGUUUGCAUACUUGGAAAGCCCUAAAAAAUCGUCAAAAGUCAGUAGUGUACCUAGCGGUGCAACUAAGUUGAAUUAAGUCUCGAACUAGUCCAAAUAGAGAUUUUAAGAUGAAAUUGAGAAUUUUAAAUUCUCAAAAUGACUUAAAAUGGUGAUUCGGAGUUCAAAGACCAAUUUGGAGUCAAAUUGGAAUUUUCAUGACCUAGGGGUAAAAUGGUCAUUUUGCCACCCGAGGUUAAGACGUGAGUGUUGGAUGAAAUUUUUGACUAAGAUUGAUCAUUUGGAGUAUAAUUUGAGUUUGAGAAGUGAAAAAUUUUAAUUUUGGCAUUUUUCGAGCAUAAAGGGCAAAAUAGUCAUUUUGCCACCCUAGGGGCAAAAUUGUAAUUUUACACCACCCAACACUUGUCCAACACAUGGAUUUUACCCAAUAUUAUCAUGGAUGAUUGAGUAAAUUUAAGUGGUGGAGAGAGAUUCCUUAAUGGCUAAGUAUGACACAUGGACCAAUGAAAUGGUGACAUGUGUCAAAUUCUCAUCCAUUAAUUAUUUAGCUUAAAAAUUAACACAAAAUCAGCCCAUUUCUCUUCAUAUGGCCGGCCAAAGGAAAACCAAAGGAAGAAAAGAAGAACAAGAACCCUAAGGUGAAAAUUCAAGAGAAAAAUUGGUGGAUUUCAAGUAAUCAAGCAAUCAAAGGUAAAAUUUCUUGAUUUUGACUUGUGAUCUACCUUUCCCAUGCAUUCUUUUGCAUUUUCCAUGGUUAAGAAUCAAGUUUUCAUGAUGAAUCCCUUGCUGGCCGAACAUCUAGGAGAGAGAAUUUGAUGAUGAUUUGGUUAGAUUUUAAUAUAUUUUGGUGUUUUUAGUUAAUUAGUGAUGUGUAGCAUGAAAAGCAAACAAGAAAAAUUCAUUUUCUCCCAUUACCCAUCAUUGGCCGAAUUUUCCUUGUAGAGUGUGGAUGGUGGAUUUGAUUUUAUUUCAAGUGAAUUGGUUAGGAAAUGAUGAAUUAUGGUGAGAAAAUCAAGUAGAAAAAAUCAUGGUGUUGAUGCACCCACCAUGGCCGAAAUUCUCAAGAGAAAACGUGGAGAUGAUUUUGCUAAAUUUUAUGCUAUUUGACUCGUGUUUGAGGAUUUGGAGAAUUGGAAGAAAAAUGGAGUUAAUUGGUGUUGAAUUGGACAUAUUGGCCAAUUAAUCAAGUGAUAGAUCGAAUUAGGCCAAUACUGUAUUAUUUAGGUACACAAUUGAAUUUGUGUAGAACACCGUGUGUAGACAAUAAUCCGAACAAUUUGCAUCCCAUUUCAUACAUUAGUAUAAAGCCUGAAUUGGUUUUAUAACAAUUUAGCACAAUGUAGUAAAUGGCUUAUUGUGCAUUAUGUCUAGGUGGUGAGCAUUCUGGAAAAAGUAAAGAGAUAGUAUUAGAGGAUCAAGAAUCGGAGUACUUGGAAUUCGACUCCCGAAAUAGUGAGUAACCUUACUAUCGUUUUAAUUAUCUAAAGUGGUUUUUAUCCGAUUUUGUGAUUUUAUGGAAAAUGAGUUUAAAUGGUAAAUCUUUAGGUUUUAUAAACAAAAUGUGUUUAAACGAAAUGAUUUUAUAAAUUAUCUUGAAAUUGAAUGAUGGCUUUGAAAAUAGAGUAAUUGAAGACCAUUUGAUGUAUUGUGAAUUUAUGUUUCUAAUUGAUUAGCUUAUGAUAAUAUUGGCAUGAAUGGUUGAAUUGGCAAAUGUGCUGAAAUUGUAUGAACUGUUUGUUUUGCCUUAACAGGCUGGGUAGUAAUAUAAAUUGCCAUGUCAUGCUGUCGAAACUUUUAUUGAUUUGGCGGGAUAUCGAUUAGCUUACUGCAGUGGGCGGGUUUCUGUGGACCAGCCUAUUAGAGGGGCACGGUAAACCCUAUUAUAUUUUACCUCGGUUGGAGAGACGAGUAGGGUAACUCUCGAGGUAUAACUUUUAGAGUUCACUUCACACCAAACCACCACGUGAGGGGGAACUCAGCCAACGCCAAGGAACGGCUAUGUUUUCAAAAUAAAAGCAUGAUUUAUGCAUACAUAACUUUUUAAUAGCCUUGGCAGACUCGGUUGGGAUAGCCCUCGAUCAAGGCAUCCCUGAUAACUGGGUAUGAGAAUGAUUUUGGCACGAGCCAAAGUUUUAAGAAAUUCAUAAGCCAUGUUCAUUACUCGAUUUAUAUGAAUUGAUUUUAUUUGGUUGAAAUGAGUUGAAAACUGAUAAAUUACAAUAUGAUGAUUUAUUUUAUCUGUCUCCAUUUACUCAACUUUAGAUAUUUUAGAUGGUAUUUGUUUACUCAUUGGGAUUAUAUAAUCUCACCACCCUCCUUUCCACCCAUUUCAGACUCACGAUAGUCUAUAGAUAGCUGAUUUCAUCGAGGACUACCAUUAGAUUUGCAUCCUCCAAACUGCAGGUUCACAGUUUUUCUUACUUUUGGUUAUUCGAGGGCCCACUUGUUACUGUAAAUUAAAUUAAAUACUCUGACUUACUAUAUUAUAGUAUAUAUGAAUUUAUUUUGCUUUUAUGCUACAAAAAUUUAUUUACGUAGUGUUCUAAAAAUAUGGUUUUAAGAGAAAAUUGAAUAUUUUAUUCUAUAUUUUUAUUUUAUUCUAAUAGUUAUAAUUUCAUUUUAAAUGAAUGUUUUAGACAUCCAAAUUUAUUUUUGAUAAUGAAAUAUGUGUUUUGUACUCGCCUACUACAUUUUUAGUUAGUUUCGAGAUUUUUGAGGAAAAAUGACCAAAAUACCCCUAUGAGAAAAUAAUUAUUUUUCUAUUGAUUUGAUUUGGAAAUAGUUUAUAAUCUCUCAAAACGUGAUACUUAACAAUUGUUGCUCACAAGAGAGGUGCGAAAACUGAUAUUAAAGCCUUGCGAGGUUUCGGUUGGCAUUCCGGGUAGUGAAUGUCUAUCGGGACGUCACGGCGGUUGUCACGGGUUCGAGGGGAGUACCGAGUCGUGACAUUGCAUGAUUAACAAAUGGGUCCACUAAUGGUAUUGUUUCCCAUUAUAUGCCAUCAGGUCAGGGUACUUUGACUGUGCAAGUCAUCAAAAGUGAUCUCAGACAAGGAUGAGGUCUCAAUUAAAUGGAAAAAAACCCCAAUACAACAAGAUUCACAUAGUUACAACGAUCGAGUUAUUCCUUCUAUGCAGUUGCUGAUCGGUACAAAGCACCAAAACUUGAAAGCAAAUGCCAUAGAAGGCCUUCGAAAAGUUUUGCUUAGAGAUUUUUGUAAAUAGUAUGGACAGUUAAUUUUUUAAAUUUGUUUAUUCUUUUUCCUAAUAAGUAAGGUAACAUUGUUGUGUAUUAUCUCUAAAUUAGUCUUUAUUGUAGUAGUUAACAGAGAAAAAGAUGAUAAGAAUAAUUUGAGAUUAUUUCCUCAUAUGAUUUCACACUAACAAUGUACUGUCAAUAAUGUUUGUAUACAGAGAAUUGAAUAAAAUAUAUCUUAUGCAUUUACAGAAUCUUUUCCACAUUUCGUUUUGUUAAUCUGUUACACAUUAUUAGGCACGACCUAUUUAUUAUUUUGUAUUUGUUAUAUAAAUUAUAAUGACCUUCCCCAGAAAUUCACUUGUUACAAUAUUCUCAUCAAAUAAUUCUCAUAAGUUGAUAUAUUGCAUCACGUGAUUGGAUUUGAAAGGAUUUGACUCAUCGAUUUUGAAAGAACUACAUGACACAUGCAUUGCAUGACUGUUUUUUAUUCAUUCUGUGCGUAUUUGAUAGGGCAUCACAUUACGUUCUUUGCAUGCCUGACGUGCUUGUUCUUCAAACAUUGCGUGAUUGAGUAAAAAGGUCAUUGCGUGACUAGUUGGUCUGCAUAGUGUGACUUAGGGUUUCAUAACUAGUAUGUGAGAAGCAUGGAUGGCCAUUUGAUAAACCUCUUAAGCAGGGCAAUUUUCAUCUAGCAUUGCGUGACUUGUAUAAAAAUGCAUUGCGUGACUUGUUUAUGUGGCAUUUUGUUACUUGUAACUAGAUUCCACGUGUAUGGUAUGUAUAAAGCAUGAGAAUUUUCAUCUUUUGUGAUCAUCUUUCCUAAACCACUUGCUAUUUGUCUCCCAUAUCCUCUCAAUUCAACCUCAUCUUUCAUCAAUUUCAAGCUUCAUGCCUCAAACAUUUCAUCAAACCCUAAACCCCAAAACCAAUUGACUCCAUAAUCUUCACUUUUCCACUGAAGCUUUUGUCCCAAAUCACUCACAUUUCCUGAAACCCAACGAUGAGUCCAAGCGCCAAACGAACCAAAUCAAUCGCUAACCAAGCAUCAAGUAACUCUACUAGAGUUGGUUCUUCCUCUUUCCCUAAUGAGAGUUUUUUCAUUGCCAACUUCACUAAUGUGUAUCAUGCCCAAAAAUUCAGAGAUAACUUUGGCAAACGAAAGGUAAUGCUGGGGCGCAUUAUUGACUUUGAUUAUGUGGAAUCCAUUAAUUUUUCAUAUCUUAAGAAUAUUGAGAAUUUAGGGUGGACUUAUUACUUGAAAUUGAACAGAAUGUAUUGUGAGAACUUGGUUAGGGUUUUCUAUUUCAAUGUGACUCAUGAGUUUCCUAAUUCAGAGUCCGAUCGAUUAAUAUCCCAUGAUGAUAUGUUUGUCACUCACAUCAUGGGCAAAUGCAUUAUCGUCACUCAUGCACUUAUUGAUCACAUCUUCCAAAUUAACACCUACAUCGACGAUUUUAGGUAUGUUUCUAAUGAUGGCAACGUCUAGUCCACUUUAGUUUUUCCUCCUCCUAAUGACGAAGGUGGCUUUAGUUGCAUGAGGCUCUGUUUCCCUGAUCUUGUCUUCCACCUCAUCAUCAAUCAUACCAUCUACCUUCACUUUUUCAACUACUCCACGACUAAGAAAGAGGAUUUUUGGUUCCUCUUUAACAUCAAAUUUAACCACCAGAUUAAUCUCGCCAAGUUUAUAAUGGAUGACAUGCUUCACACCAUCAGUGGGGGCAUAAAAAACUUCCUUUAUGGUAUGUUGGUUAGUGAGAUAAUCGACUUUUCUACCGUCGACAGUCGGUGUGAUCACCCAAGUCCCAUACCUUUUUCAUCCCUAUUGAGGAGCAUACUAUUAAGAAAUUGGGAUUUGAGUUAAAGAAAGCAGUUGAUAAGGUUGAUGAUGGCUAAGAGGGUAAUGAGAGGGAAUGAAACAUUUACCACACUGACCCGUCCAUUGCUUAACCUAGUGCAUCGCUUAUGGCAACCUCCUUUGAUGCUAAGCAUGCCUUCAUGCGGCUGUUUUCAUUCAUAGAGACCACGGAAUCACGCAUGACUGUGUGUAUAGAUGUGUUAGAUGAGUGAACCUAUGAAUUUUGCAGCGCCAAUGAGACUUGAAGGAUGAUUUGCAUUCCCACUUUCCACCGCCACAGUGAUCUCCAUGUAUCAUGCCAUUACAGAUUUUUUUUUUCUUGAUUUACACAUAAUUCGGAUGUUUGUUCAUAUUUUAUUGUUCGGCUUUUGAUUGAUGUUAUCAGUUGUAAAUUAAUGUGUUUUUUUCAAUAUUGUUUGGUUUAGGUUUCUCUGUAAUGUUUAUCUUGAUGAUCUCCAUCAUGUAUUUCCUACAUUAAAUUUUUUGUUAAUGUCUAAGUAGGUAGGGUAUCUUGAAUCUUUCAACACCAUACAUAUAUGUGACAUUGGUUAAUAUCUUGAAGCCUUUAAUGUAACAUAUAUAUCUGGUGUUUAAAGCUUCAAGAUACGUUGAAGGGAAAUAUACAUUGCAGAACAUCGAAAUUACACCCAAUGUUAACCCAAUAUUGGAAAUAAAUUUUUUUAUUUCUUAGUCAUAUUUUAUCUUUUGUAUAUAGUUUACACACUUUACAUGCUAGAGUCAAUGAUUAUGUAUAUGCCAACAGCGUGACUUUUGGACUGUGUGACUAGUUGGUCGGGUAUUGCGUGACAUCUUGGUAAGGCAAUGCGUACCUUGUCAAUGCUUUCUGCAUGACAAGUUUAUAUGGCAUUGCGUGAAUGGGGUGUAGUCAUUGUGUGACUUAGGCAUUGCAUGAAUGAUGUGUAGUAAUCGUGUGGCUGGUUGAUAUGAUAUUGCAUGGCUAGUUAGUAGGUGUCACGAUCCAAGUUCCAGGCCAUGACCCGCGCAUGGGCCCAAUGGACGUAGUCCACUAAGCCUAAGCAAGCCUAUUAAUCUGACAUGUUUAUCAUUCUAUUAUAACUGCUAAGUCAUAUUUCAUAACUUAGAAUCAAAAUAAUAUUGAACAUUGCCAUCUCAUACUGACAUACCAAACAAGUGUAUAUACAUUGUCUACAACAUGUAUCUUAAUAAUUUACAUUAGGUUCAUCUAUACACAACAAAAGAAUACUCGACUUCCAACGGAGACACUCAGAUGAAUGUACAGCUACUGAAUGCCGAGACACCUACCAAAAGAUGGAUACAAGUCUAUGAGGACACCUCGUCCUAGUUACCAGCUACCUCUCGAUCUGAAAACAUGAAGUUUAAAAACAGUGAGUAUAAACCCAGUGAGUGAACAAGAAGGGAACAAGCAUACCAUAAGGAAUGUUUAACAAAAUCAUGAUGCAUUCUUUUUUCAAAACAAUGCAAUUUAUUUAGUUCUAAUUAAACCCCUCAUGUAAACCCCACAUGAGUAAAUCACUUUAUGAAAGAGUCUAUGCUCAACAAAAGGAUUUGGAGAGUGAAAACUUUAAUUCAUACGAAUCAAGUCAAAUAUACGACGGGUCCUCGCUGCAGUGACACUUGACCUAAAUUCUUAACUAUCCGAGGGUUUCUUAACUGGCCAAGGGUUUCUCACCAAACCUCCUCAUUUAAACUUAGUUAGAUAGUCCCCAAACAUGUUGGAAGUCCAUGCUCCACUAUGGUGUUAAAGGGGCGAAAAAUAUGGCAAAAAUCAGUAAGGUAGUCAAGCAGGACAGAAGGUUUCUCACUGCAGCGAGAUUCUUUCUCAUUGCAGCGAAAUUUGAUUGGACAAACAGAGAGUUCCUCGCUGCAGCGAGAUGCUACAGUAACUAUCUCGCUGCAGCGAGAUCCAAAUCUGGUGAAAAUCCUCACAAUCCAAGAGUUUCUCGCUGCAGCAAGAAUGAAUUUCACUACAGCGAGAACAGAGCAACAAGAGAAAAGUUUUCCCUCACUCAACAAAAAGGCCAUCUUGCUAAACCAACAAAAUCAACAUAAAACACAUGCCAAUUCCCAAAGUGCAAUGUAUUAAAUUUCACAUAUAUGUCAAUCAUAUAUCACAUUCAUGAGCUUUCAUUUCAUAAGUCUAGAUAUGCAUAAUUGCAUAGAUAAACAUCAAUAUCAUCAUAAUCACACCAGACUCAUGUACAUCCCCCCACAUCGUGCACAUAGUCGGCACCAUCAUGUGCAUCCCCCCACGUUGUGCACAAUCAGUGCCAUCGUGUACAUCCCCCCACAUCGUGCACACGGGCAUUAUCGUCAUCCAUCUCUCACGUCACCAACAUCACCCGUAUAUGCAUUCCCCCUCAUCAUGCACACACACGGUUAUAGUCAUCAUACUCAAUAUCAAUCAUCAUGCACACACACAUAUAUAUAUAUCAUCUUAAUGUCAUAGUGCAUGAAUCCAUAGCAAUCACAUAUCACAAUAUAAAACCAUUUAGUAAAAGCUUGUUCCCAAGGCACUUGUUUUCAUGAAAAACUUGAUAAUUCAUUCAAAUGUGAGGCAAAUACAUUAUAUUCCCCAAAACAAGUUUUGAAGGCAGUCCACUCACCGGUAUAUUGUUGAGCCUUUAGUUGACUCUCAUUUCCCCUAAUGAUCCAAUUGGAGUAAUGGGGCUUCGUUAGAACCUACCAUCAAAUUAACAUUACCAUAAUGUCAAUUCAUACUUAUAAACCCUAAAAAGCUAUCUCUUAGCUAGCUUUCAAUUGCCACUUUGAAUGGCUAUUUAUGUUCACUAUCUUAAUUACUAUAAAAUGAAUGAACAUCCUUAACAAUAAAACAGCUCAUAAUUCCAAUUACUAGCCAUUUUCUACAGCUAAAAACCGAGCUUAGUUCAUCACUCACCCUUAGGUUUCUUUGUAGUUGAAUUCUCUUCUAAUAGCUUCCAAACAAAUGGGGUAAUUCUUUUUUUCUCUCUCUAGAAUGCCUAACUAGUGAGAGAAAGUAUGGAAAUAAGAUUUAUCAAGGGUUUUGAAGUGAGAGAGUGAAAGAAUACAAGGGUUCUAGUCAAAAGGGCACAAAGGCAUGAAAAUUAAAGCUAGUGAGAGAAAAUCAUGCAAGCUUGAAGAAAACUCCAGGAAUUGAAGAAACAUGAGAGGGAAAAAGGAAGAAGAAGACAAGCUACUGAAAAAUGGGAGAAGAAGCUGCUGAAAGCAAGGGAUAUUUAUAGCCCAAGCUUAUCUAUUCCCUUGAAAUUACGAAAAUGCCUUUGACUAGUUAGUUUGUUCUCAUGCAACCCUUUGUGCAAUCGUUUUACUCUUUUAACACUGAGACCAAGUCCAUAAUGGUCUAGACAUGUUCAGGUUUGCGAAACUUUUAAAAAUUUUGACUUGUGUGCAAAAUGAUCAUUUUACCCUUAUUUUGAAAAUUAUUGUCAUUUCUAGUUUUCUUCAUAUUUUCAUCAUUACACAUCAUUUAUACAGUCUUAUGCCUAUUUAGACCUUAAAAUAUAAUAAAACUUUCUUCUAGGAGCUUAUUAGAGAAAAUGAUGAAACUACCCCUGGACUGUGUUAUUGUGUCUAUGCCUAAUUACAAGCCUAUAAAGGUUAAGGUCUCACAGUAGGCCUCCCUUGAUUCACUUGUUGCGUUACUUGUUCAUUGAAGCAAGUGAAGGCAAUUACAAUGAACAUCAAUAGUAUUAUGUGACUCACCUUCGAUACGUGACUUGUCGAAUAAUAAAAACAAUUAAAAUGGUCAAUAUAAAACCAUGAUCCACAGAUAAUAACCAUCAUAACAUAAUAUCCAAUAGAAUACCUAAACCUUAAACCAAAAGUAUUCGAAAACACAUUAAAGUUGAUCCACAUAUUACCAUAAAAAACAUACACCACAAAUUGUUUAGCAAAUAAAUGACAGUAUCCCUAACCCAAUAAAAAAAUUGUUCAUCCCUAAACCCUAUGUUAAUCUUUCCCUACUCUACUUGACUCAAUUAGAACCAAUGACAACUGCCUUGCCUUUUUUGUGAGUUUCCUGGGGGACAAACUCUUCUCUGCUAUUUCUUUCGACCCCACUUUUGUUGCUCGAUCAAUUGUAUCUGUUCUUUGCACUAGAAAAUUCUCAACAUUUUGUAACUUCUCUUUUAAUUUUUUCAUUCGACCAGUAUACUUAGUGAGUUUUCCAUCAAUCUUCAUAAAUAGAUUAUACAUCACAUCAUUUGAAAUAGGAUCUUGAAUAACUCAACUCGAAUGAGUGGAAGAAGUAACAUGGUUAAGAAGAACUAGGCUACCUUCGAUAGAGUUGAAUGACUGAUCAACAACAAUCUCAAAUCCCUUUUUUCUAGAGCCAUUCAAUUGAGAGAGUACGAGCCUUACUACUGGUCCAAUCAGCUAGGUACUUAUUGCUCCAGAUCCUUGUUUUCUUAACUAAAGCUAAUAUGAUGUUUCCAUAUGGUAGAUUCGUCUUAUACCCUAAGGCAAUUCCUUUCAUUCUUUCAAUCAUACAUUGUGCAACAUUCACACCCAACUGGCCUCCAAUGGAUUCCAUCAUCCACAAGUCCUCAAUGCUAACAUAUCUUAAACAAUUGAUCCCUUCUCGUAGUGUGGAAGUUAUAAAAUUAUGGAAAAGCUUAACUUUUGCAUAUUGCAAAUGACGAGCAAAACAUGUAUUUGUGGGGAAUUUUUUUGUUCUUCCUGUGACUACUGCUCGCAUGUGAGACGAUUCAUCAAAUAGGGGAAGCGUGUCUUGUCCAACUUUGUACUCCAUUUUCAAGAGCUUUCCAAUCUCGAUGGCAGUCACUUUAAACUUUAUUCCUUCCAAAAACAAGUACAACCCAAACUUUACAAAAUCAGUAAGAUUUUCCAAGUCAUCUUUACUCCAAGUAAUGCUAGAGUAAAAUUCCCUAACAAGGGUCAAGCUAUAAUCCCUAUUUGGAAAAGUAUUUAGACCCUUAAGUUUAGUCUUCUUAAAUAACCUAUUUAUUUCAUGUUCAAGGGUUAUGGUUUCAUUAAAGCUUUCCUAAUCUACCACUUUUCCACAUGAUAUAAUGGCAUUCUUUAUUAUCUUAUGCCUAUCAGCAUGUGCUUUGAAACGAUGAUGGAAAGUUACCUUGUUCGAUGGAAAAAUUGAUUGAUGCGGCAAGCAACUCAAAAGCCAGUUUCCAUUUCUUCUUGGAUCGUAGAGUAAAGUAAUCCUCAUCACGUCUAUUUUCUUGGACAUUGUCACUAACAUUGCUAGUGCUAGAAGAUACAACCAUUGAUUUCGAUGUUGUUGGAGGCUUCGAGUUUCUCAACUGAACUUACACCUAGAGAGGGUUAAAAGAUUUUCAAUGAAUUCUAGGUUAGGGUUUUUCUGUAUUAUGCAUUUUAAAUAUGAUGCGUUGUGAUGUGUGAUAUGUUAACUCGUUAGCCCAGGAUUUGUGUGGGUGGCUUUCACGUCCUUUUCGUUUUUAAUAAUUUUUUCCCUUCCAAAUUUUCCCUUAUAAUUUUAAACCAAAUAACGAUCAUAACUUGAGAUUGUGCAUCGUGUGACUAGAUUUCAUACGAAUCACGUGACGCAGGCAUUGAGUGAUUCGUUUUCAUUCGUUGCGUGAGUCAUGCAAUAACUUAAUAUUAUGCAUGUUAGUGACAAUUACUCCAUAUUAGGCACGUGACUUGUUCACAUAGCAUGACCCCAUAUUAGGCAUUGCGUGACUAGUUCUUAUGUAUAGUAAUACUUCUUGAAUACAAUGACAGGUUUUGAAAGAAUUUCGGAUUGCUUGAAACCACGUCCUUAAUUGCAUUACGUGAUUUAGACCGAAUCUUGUUGGCUUCCAGCUAUAAUUGAAAAGCAAGACCAAAAGUAGAUUGUACAGUUGAAUUUUACACAACCAAGCCAAGUAUCUUGCUAACAAUAUCGUUCCAUGUUUGAAGCUAUAGUAAAAAGGGGUAAGGAAAGAAAAUGAAGCAAUAUGAUUUCCUUUUGGGGGGUAUGCUAUUUUAAUUGAUGGGUACGUAGAAAGGUACUCUUCGACCCAUUAAUUAGACUGAAUACUUUAAAUCUCUCUCUUACAUUUAAGAUGACAGAAUUUCUAAAUCAGGGAAUCCAUACUGUAAACGCCAGUACCUAGUCGAGUCAUUCAUCAUUUCAAUUUAUUUUGAUUUGUUAGCCAAGUUAUCAGUAGGCUUUAAUAUAUAUUUGCAAACUUGGAAAUAAAUAUUACCCUGAUGACUAAACUAAGCAUGAUAAAAUGUAUGUAAGCGAUUAAUUUGAUCUCUUCAACCUCGAUAAUCAUCAUAAUCAGGCUAUGAAAAAUGUAUCUACACUUUCUAAACUAUGUGAACUGUUAAAGAAGCCAUGAAUAUCAAAAGUUCACUUCCUUAUUGAUAGAUUGAUUUGGCUUGUCUUUCUUAAACCUAAUUUCCACUAUAAUUUUUGCCCUAUGAAAUCUCUUAUGAUUUUAUUUUAUUAGCACAAUGAUAAACAAAUUAUAAACAUGUACAACGCAUUUGAUGAUCCCAAAAUAUUAUUUUGAUAGGCGUACAUCUUGAUAGGGAAGUUGUCAGACGUCAGAGUAUUAUCUCUAGGCUGGGUCAAAUUCCAAAUGAAAUAGUAUUAUUCAAUGCAAAACUUAAGGGCAGUGUGGAUACAAUAGACCACAAUUGCUGAGGAGCCACUACCUUUGGCUACGACACCCAUACGUUCUCAAAGUUUCUCAUUCUCAUUUGAUAGUUGUUUCGUGCAUGCCCGGUUUAUCUACAAAUUGAACAUGCCUUCAAUCAUCGUCAUCUUCAUCAUCAUUCAGCCACUAACUAAGUAAACGAUGGUGCCGAAUUUGUCAAUGGACCUGCAAACAACAUUAGGCAAUUUUGUCUAUUAUGACUGUAGCUCUUGAAUUAUGAACAUUUACGUCGUCGACUACUUUCAUCAACUAAUGGAAUCCUUUUCCUCAUAGGUCGUCCCACUGAACUCACCAAGUUGGUGGCAAAACAACAAUUUGUUAAACAUUGGGGGGGAUGUCCCACUUACUACAAUGCCCAACCAGGUGAAUGGGAACUGCAUAUCCCUCCACCCAAGACCAAGUCUUGUAAUAGUUUAAGCAGAAUUCAAUGGUUGCACAUUUACACUUACUACUAAGACAAUGAAAUCACAGUUGGGGAACUAUUUAAAAUUUCAAUUCAUUACAAAGUAAAUAAGAAAACAUGUAUAUUCAUACCUUAUUGCCGCCAUGGCAUGCGUGCAAGGGAGUAAAUAGAUCUGAAACUCAUCACAUGAACACGUCUUGAUGGACAGUUUGACGACUCUGUCCUUAGUCUGGGCUACAACUUGAAACUCCACUCAAUCGGUUGCUUGUGUAGAAAAGUGAUAUGCUUCAUUGAACGGUGUGUUCAAUAGAUUAGUAGCCCAAAGGUUGAAGAGCAUGAUCAAAUUCAAGGACUCCUUCUGUCGGUCAUGGAACUAGCGUUGGAACAUACCUGCGAUGCACUCAAUCAAGACGGUUCUUGGCAUUUUUCUUGCCUGCCUCAGACACGAGUUAAUACACUCCACAAUGUGAAAUGUCAUGAACUUGUAGUGCCUUACUAGUGACCGUGCACAUGCCCAUUUAUUAGGGCAUAAUAUCAUAAGGUGGUCGUAAGCAAGUUUGCAAAGCUAUUUCAGUUGAUUCAUAUGUCUGUUGAAAUUGGCAAGCUUGUAACAACUGGCAACAAGCGUGAAAAUCGUGACAGCAUCUUCGCGCUUGAACCUAUUUUUAACAUUUUUUCCCAAAUGGUAAUUGCAUAAACUGUAGUGCUUGUCGUGGUACACUUUCUCAACUAUAUUCUUAAUGCUAAGAUGCUAAUAAGAAAUAAACAUUGCAUUUUUAGGAUAACCAAUAGCACGAAGCAAUUGGGUAAAAAAUCACGACCACGGCUCUUCAUCCUUUACGUCGCUAAUGCUAAAUGCAACUGGAUAUGUUUGCUCAUUUGUGUCUUUUCAUACAACAAUAAACAGAAUACCCUUGAAUUUAUCUUUUAGAUGUGUGGCAUCAAUAACAACUACAAGCCGCAUUAUAGCACUAAAUCCCCGUAGACAUGCAUCCGUAUCAACAGUUGUGAUAGUACCGAGAAUUUCACAUUCCAACAUAUGAAAAUACGAGGGGAGGAGUUAUAAUGACUUCUCUGGGGGACCAAAAACAAGACUUUUUGCAUACUCCUUCACUUGCCAAGCCUUACCAUGCAGGUAUUGCAAUCCCUACUUGCGAUUCAUCUCUUCCAUUAUUUUCUUUAGUCUAAAUGGUGUUACAUUAUAUCCUUGCAACCUGGGGGAGAUAAGCUCUCCAAUUAACCUCGCGCUCAUGGUUUGGAACCCACCUUGUAAACCAUCAAUAGUAUACAUGUGUACCUUGUGGAACGUCCGAACUUGCCAAUAAUCUCUCUCAGGCAACUUUGUUGCAUGCAAAGCAAACUUGCAUGCCUUGUCUUUACAGCCUACCUCAAAACAAGCAUGAAUAUGACUUUUUAGCUCUAAUCUCAAAAUGCUCUUUUAUUGCCAACAUGCUCAAAGCUCAUUUCAAUUCAGCCUUCGAUGGAAACACUUUGCCGCAAUAUAAGUGGUCAUCGAUUGAUCUAGACUCCUCGAUCGUAAUUGUUUGGAAGGAUAUCAUAUCUACUCCCGGAAUAAUUCAUUGACGAGAUACCCUUACGUUUACCCUUUCUUGAUAACUGUCAUCUAGUGAACAAAUCCCAUUUUCACCAGCAAUGAGGUUGUCGUAAAUAAGGUCAUCACACUCAACAUAUUCUAAAACAAUAGUUAUGGCAUGGUCAUCGCACUAAACCUCUUCUAACAUAACAGUUGUGGCAUGUUCUGUACUACCAUCUACAUGAUUGCAAUCCAGAAUGUCAUUGUCCUUACCCUUGUCAUCCUCUGAAUAGUUAUCAUGUCCGCAGCGUAAUCAUCUUCAUAGUUAUUGUCCAUCUCAUUAUUCCAAUCAGCAAUGUCAUCCUCUUCACCAUCAUCGUCCAUCUAAUCAAAUGCAUCGUCAUUACUCACGACCAUCACAGUGUCAUUUGCGAAUGGCAAUGGACCCAUUGCAUUCGCAAGCGAUGGUUGCAUUUAUUGCCAAGAACGAAGUAUUUCGUUCGAUGCACAUUUUGAUCAGAAUUGUGUAGACAUCAUUUGCAGACACCUCAUGUGUGUACUUGGCUGUUCAAAUUCAUGUGCAUACGUCAAUGGUAAUUACCAUUGUUAUUUGUUAGCAAAUGCAUGGUGUAAUAUGUCUGAAUCCUUAUAAUUCUACUGUAGGUGAUUACUAUGUUAGACACCAUGUUCAUGUGGUAUAACAUUUGUAUUUUAUUCCUUAACUAUCACAAACGCUAGAACUGCCCUCUCAUCUCACAGAAUACUUGCUACUUUCUUCAUCGUCCCUGAUAACUACGUGUGAAACCCCUACUGCAUGACUGAGCAUUGCAUGUAGCUCGAUUUUAUGAUUCUGUGAGUUGACCUUAACAACCUUUUCAACUAGCUUCAUUAGGUCCAAAAAUGACAAAUCACUCUCAAUACCCCUCAUUCGUGUCUCACCACCCUUGUAAGGGUCAUCGACCCAAUAACUACCGUAUGUAAUCACAAGCUUCACAUUUGGUAACAUGUUGAACUUUAACAGAAAAUAAGUGUCACAAUCAACCAAUUUAUCAAAAAAUGCCACUCAAUGUAGAAAAAUCAGUCAUGCAAUGCCUAAGUCAAGCAAUAACAUAGAGUCAUUAUCGUAAUGUCUAAUACAGAUUCACGUAAUGCCUAAAAACUAGUCAAGAAAUACCUUAAAACAAUAGAUGCAUUGCACAAGUCACGUAACACCUAAAACCCAGUCUCGUAAUACUUAAUAAUAAGUCACGCAAUGCCUAAUAUCCACUCACAUUAUGCCAAUUUAACCAGUCACACAUUACCUUAAACCAGUCACACAAUGGCCCUACUCACACAAUACAUAAAAAUCAGUCACAGAAUACAUAAUAACCAGUCACGCAAUGCCUAAUAUCCAUUCACACGAUGCGUAAUAUCCAUUCAUGUAAUGCCUAUAAACAAAAUAAUAUUCCAACUAUUAUUAUCAUACCUUUGCUUCUCUUAUAUAAAUAGAAAAUUAAGAAAUUUGAGUAAGUAAAUAAGUUAUCAGCAUAAUAGAAAUUAAUGGUAGUUACUAUUUAUGAAAAAUAUGUAAUAAAUCAAGAUUUUUAUUCAUAUAGCUAAAACUAAGUAAAUGAUACAUCAUAAUAACCAUGUAUUAUGUGCCUUCCAUGGUUCAUUUCUUCUUAAUCUCAUCUACUAUUUCAUAAAUUUCAGUUAGAAUCUUUUUAUUAUGCAGAAUUUCUAUCUCUAAAACUUUUGUCCAAACCAGCACCUUGUUGAUCAAAACACGCAAGUCCUUUUCCAUGUUCUCAAUGACCUUCAUCAAUUUUCCCAUAUAUGUUGCAACAUAUUUAGGGAUGUCUUCCUUUUCAGAAGCAACACCCUUCUUGGUUUCACCUUUAAAAUGUUUAGAAGCCAUGAGAUUUUUGAGAUUUGGUGACUUUCUCUCAAAUGAUUUUGAUUGAAAUGGGCAAUGGUUUCCUCUAUUUAUAGGCAUGAAUGUUGACUCUUAAAAUGGUGAUCAAGUUUUAAGCUUGUUUCCUGAUGAAUAUGGUUAAUCCGUAAAUCGAUGCAAUAAGUGCUUUAAAGAGAAUUUUAGAAUUCUGUGUCAAUUGAAUUUGGAUGGUUUUCUACACAGACAUAAGUGGAAUUAAGGGGGCUGAAUUGGUUAUUAUGCAUUCCUAAUUCUUUUCUAAUUUUACAAAAUUGGUUAUUAAAAGGGCUGAAUUAGUAGAUAUUCAGUUUCAGCAGCAAGUAGAUAAAGAGCACAAUAACUAAAAACCAGUCACACAACACCUACAAACUAGUCAAGUAAUUCCUAAAACCUCAUCAAACAAUGCACAAGUCAUGCAAUUCCUAAAAUCUAGUCUCCCAAUGCCUCGUAUCUAGUCCCACAUUGUCUAAUAUUUAGUCACGUAAUGCCAAAUAAAUAGGUUACACAAUUCCUAAUAAUCAGUCAUGCAAUGCUUAAGUGACGUAAUACAUAACAACCAGUCAUGCAAUGCCUAAUAUCCAGUGACGUAAUGCCUAAAAAAAAUUCACAAAUUGCCUAAUAAUUAAUUGAUUUUGCUACUCCUGGCCAGGUUUAAGUUGCCAAAGUCAUAUAAUUUACCCAUCAACUUUUGGGUUCUAUGAAUAUAAACAAAUAAACUCAAGAACCCAAAACACAUACUUUGAUGUCAUCUCUACUCUUUGGGAUGCGAUAAGCAGUUGGAUGGUGAUAUAGACCUCGAUGGAGUUAGAGAGCUAGACGGAGAGAUAGAGAAAUUAAGAUUUAAUUUAUGAACUUUAUCUGAAUAGUGAGAUAGAAGAAAUCGGACCAUUUAAUUUAAAGAAAAUGGUUUAAAGGGCAUUGUUAUUAAGUUAUGUCAAAAAUUAUCUAAAAACAGUUAAAAUUAUAAUGAGGGUCAUUUUUUAAUUGAACUUAUGAUGAGGGUUAUUUCUCAUAAUUUCUUCUUUCUUAAUUUUAAUUUUCCUGUGAAAACAAAAGGUAAGCGACAUUGAGAUGCUAACAUAUCUGUCCUUUUGACUUGAUAGUAUAGACAUUAACAUAUCUUAACCAUUUUUAAUUAUAAUUCAAAUUUAAACUAUAAAGCUCAAGUCUCAUUAUAUAUAGAUUUGGACUAAUUUUACAUUCAAUCAAGUAAGGUAUUGUUGAAAGGCAUUUGUAAGGCAAACAUACUAUCAAAGGAGAUAGAAUUCAAAGAAAAGAAAUUAAUACGAAUUGAUUUGGGCCAGCCUAUAAUAGUAAUACUAGUUUGAAAAAUAUAUUUAACUAGUUAUAAAUGAAUUUUUGUUUCAACAUUGCUACACAACCGAUAAAAGCUUUUAAUUUUUCAUUCCUCAGCCACUAAGUGGAAUAAACUUCAACUUCUUGUUGAGAGAGGGUGUACAAAGAGUCUUUGGAUUGAUUUGGUAAAAUAUAUAUUGAGAGAGAUUUUAUUGUAUUUCUAUUUUUCAAAUUAGUAGAAUAACAAUGUUUCAUCUAGUAAAUAUAGACAAGAGGUUGACUAAUGUAAAUUAUUAUGUUAUUCUAUUAGAUUGAUUUCUCUGAAUUCUAUCUUUGUUGUUUCAUAGACAGUAUUAUAACGUGAUUUUUAUUUUAAAGUGUUGAUUCUCAACAUGUUUUUAGAUAUCAUUUGUCAUUCUAUUAGUCACAUAACUGGCGUGACAUACAGAGAUAUCAUAAUAUAUGAUGAUAAGACAUAUUGAUGUGGUAUGAUAAUACAAUCAUAUAGUAUUUUUCAUCCUCACAUUAGCAUCACAUGUAUAUAAAAUGAUAAAUAACAUUUUAACUAAUAUUUGAUUAAUGGUAAUGAGUUAAUUAUUAGUUAUAAGAACCGACUUGACCCAAAUUAAGAGUACAUGAACUUAACUGAAUAUAAUAGAAAUAUAAAACUUUAUUUAAAUUUUUUUAAAUAAUUCAUUAUUCUUUUCAAACAUUAUUCCUUUCUUCAUCCCUGGUAAAAAUCUCCCAAAAAGUGCUAGUCCUGAAGAACAAGAAAGACAGGGGGAAAGGGGAAACAAGCCAAGAAAGUCCCGUAAUUAUAUGUGGUCCAUGUUUAAAGUCUAACAAGGAAAAGUCCACCCAUACUUUAUUCUACAAUGGAAGAAACAACAAUUCUUUACUCCUCUCUCUCUUAUAUUUCUCCUCAUUUCUUUAGACUUCUUCUUUCAAUCUAAAAGAUCCCACAAAAACCUCCCUCCAAGCCCACCUUAACUUCCCAUCCUUGGCCACCUACACCUCCCAAAACUCCCCAUCCAUCGCUCCUACCAUACUCUUUCCCAAAAAUACGGUCCUAUCUUCUCCCUCCAGCUUGGCUUUCGGCUUCAGGUUGUAGUAUCAUCUUCAACCGCAGCGGAGGAAUGCUUCACCAAGAACGAUAUCAUUUUGGCUAAUCGCCCCAAGUUAAUACGGGGAAAGCACCUAGGCUACAACUAUACCACACUUAUAGCCUCGUCUUAUAGUGACCAUAGGCGCAACCAAGGGCGGAGCUAGCCAAAUUUUAUUGGGAGGUCAAACAUAGUUGAAUAAGAGUUAAAAAUUUUUAAAAAUUAAUAUGUUAUUCAAUCAACAAUAAAAAUAUUGAUAAUAGAAAUAUGAAACUAAAUAUAAAACUAUAAUUUAUAAAAUAUAAAUAGUUAAAAACGAUAUAUAAGAUUAAUAAUUUUUUCUUUUAUAAUCAGAAUUAUUUAAAUACUAUAUAUUCGAGAAAAAUUUAAUUUAACUAAACAUAAAAUGUAAAGCAUAUAAAAAAUAUACUCAAGUUAGUUUCCUCUUACAUAAUCAAGAUAAAUAAAAAAAUGAUACGUUGAUGAAAUUUUAAGUAACAAUAUAAUACUAUAACUUAUAUUUGAGAACUAUAUAAUAAUUUAUUAGUUUUUAAAAAUUAAAAUCAUAAAAAAUAAAAUUUAUGUAACAUAAAAAAAAAGAACAUGGUAAGUAGAAGGUAGAUAUCACAUAUUACAUAACAAAAAAGAAAAAAAAAUAUGGUUAAUGGUUUGAAAAAAUUUGGAGAAGAAUAUUUAUAGAAACUUAUAACAUAUAAACAAAUAGAAUAAAAAUGAAAAAAACAAAUAAAUAUAAAUAUAAAUAAUAAUAUAAAUUUAAAAAAAUUAAAGUUGAAUGAUAUAAGUGAAAUUAUUUUAUUAUUUUUUAUUUAUAUUAAUUAUUAAAUAAAAUAUUAUUUUGAGGGAGUUAGUAAUAGAAUAUAUAAAAAGAUUUAAAAUUUUUUAUAUGUUAUGAAAAAAAUUUUAAAAGUUUUGAGGGCAUGCACAUAAGGAGGCUCCGCCCCCAGGCGCAACCUACGUCGAAUCAGUGCCAUUGAAAUCUUCUCAUCAAGUCGCCUAAACACAACAAUAAGUGUUCGAAGAGACGAAAUCAGGCGCUUGUUGCUGUAACUGUCGCCUGAUUCGCCCCAAGACUUCACGAAAGUGGAGCUGAGUUGACGUUCAAUAACAUCAUGAGGAUGGUAGCACGGAAGCGGUACUAUGGAGAUGAAGUGACAAAUGAAGCAGAAGCAAGAGAGUUUAGGGACUUAAUGACGAAGGUAUUUAAGAAUGGUGGAGCAGCAAACCCAGCAGAUUUCUUUCCGAUGUUGAACUGGUUCGAUCAAUGGUAUGAAGAAGCUUGGAAAGAGAAUGGACGUGUUCUUUCGAAAGUUGAUUGAUGAGCGCCGAAGUAAUAGGCAGGAAAAUACUAGUAUGAUUGCUCACCUUCUUUCCUUGCAAGAAUCUGAGCCUCAUUACUACACUGACGACAUUUUGAAAGGGCUCAUAUUGGUUAGUUGAACUUGAAUCUUUUUCAUUUGUCCUUUUCCUUUUCGUUGUUUGUACAGCUGGAAGUCCAUUCAGCUUGAACUACACAAACCCAACAUUCCUUUCUGAAUAUUCAAACAUGAAACCUCUUACACUUAAUUCUAAUUGUUCUAUUGUAUUUGCAUGCAUGUUUAACAAACAUUAUUGUGGAGGUGAUGAUACUUGCAAGAACAGAUACAUCUGCAGUCACCUUAGAGUAGGCAAAUGUCUAAUUCGCUUAACCACCCAGAAGUGUUGAAGAAAGCUAGAGUUGAAAUAGACGGUCAAAUUGGCCAAGAAAACUUGAUUCAUGAGCCAGAUGUUUUCAAACUGCAUCUAUAACUAUAUUUAAAGGAAGCCCCCAAACGGCUUCCUUUCUUGACACUAAGCCCCAAAAGUUAUGAAAUUACAAAAUUAUCUCAUUAUGAAGCAAAACUCUUAAAUAAGUUACUAUUUUUAGCCAAAUAAAUGACAUUAAUUAUUUAUACAUAUCACCUUACUUAAACUAAUUAUUAUUCCAAACAAAAAUUAUGACUCACAUUUAAAAAAAAAAAACCAUAUAUGGUCCGCUAAUUAAUUUAGAAUUUGUUGUACUAAAAAAAUAUGAAAAAUAUUAUUUAUCCUAACACUUUUUGUUUUAUGAUAUAAUAAUAACUUAUUAGUUUGAUUAUAACUUAAAUUCAUCCAAUACCACGUCAAUGGAUAAAAAUAUUUAAAACAAAAGUGAUAAAGUAAAUAGCAUGACUCAAAAGUUAUUUACAUAGAAAAAACAUUAAAAAAUUUUCCUUAUCUUUUAACUUAAAUAUUAUUGUAAUUUAAGACUCUCUUCACGUCGUGUUUAAUAAGUCUCUUUCUCAUGGACCAAAUAGCAAUCUAUAACUAUAACCCCUUUGGGGCUUCUUUGCUUGACACUUGGCAAUUAUAUUGCCUGAAGAGGAAAUCAACUAUAAAGCCCAAAUUCAGAAGUCAAUUACUUUGUAAGAGGUUAUUUAUACUAAUUUAGCUAUUUGACAAGACUAAUUACUUGAUCAUUCUCAUUUCCUAAAUUUAUUAAUAAUAUAAAAAGAAAAUUCCUAACAAUCAAAUAAAUGAAAAUCAACUAAAUCUAAAAUAUGAGUUUGUUUGCUUACAUGUCAAUAAUUUUUUUGUUGAUAGCCAUAUAAAGGUACACAAAUCUCAUAAAAUUUCCAAAAUGAGUGUUUUCAAAGUUUUUUACUUCAUUCAACAACUAAAAAAUACUUUUCCUCUUAAACACACAUAAAAUUUGAUAUUACUAAAAUAUCCCAUUUCAAGUUUAUCUUAUCAUCUAAAAUUUAUGAGCAUAAUAAAAGACAAAAGUUAAGAGAAAACUCAGUAGUGAAAAGAAGUACAGUAAUUUGUACAGUUACACUUUUUUGCUUCAUCAUCAACAAACAAGCACAUAACCGAUUAUACAACUCCAGAUCACUAAAUCAACUUGACUAUGAAAAAAAAAAAACACUUAUGUGCAUGUGAGCGUCCUAUUUAAGCUAAUAAAUAAUCUCAUGUAAGCUUUUUACAGUAGAUUGAGUGUUGAAAAUUACGAAUAACCGCAAAAGGUUUGUUAUGUUUAAAGGAAGUCUCAAAGGGUUUUUGGCUUGACACUUGAUGAGGUUCUUCGUUUGACACGUGUUUGUUGGGGUGCGGGCUUGAGGUAUAAUGUGAUUGGUCUGUGGUUGGGUUUUUACGCAUGAGCUUGGGCUUUGGGGCUGGGUUUGGAUUAGAUUUUUUUCCUCUCAUGGUUUAUAUGUGAUUAUUUAUAAAAAAUAAUUUUUUUUAUUUCAUUAUUUAUUACUCUCAUGCCAUUUUUCGAUGUUAAAUGUAACUAAUGUGACAGGGUGCAUAUCAACUAGCUAAGAGAUAGGGCAUUGAGAGAGAUUGAGUUACUACAUAUUUUAUUUUUCAAGUGUUAAAUGUAACUAAUGUAAAAUUGUGCAUAUCAGCUAGCUAAAGAUAAUGUUUUGAGAGAGAUUGAGUUACUACAUAUUUUAUUUUUCAAUAUUAAAUGUAACGAAUAAAAAGUGGUAUAGAUCAAUUAGCUAAAGAUAGAAUUUUAAAAGAGAUUGAGUUACUACACAUUGUACCGUAAGUUUGGAGAUUUUGUUUAAGAUUUUUUUUUUUUGGUAUAGAAGCACCAUACAAAUAUCGAUGGCUACAAUAAUAAAAAUUAUAUAUUUUGUAAAAUAAUAUUUUAUACAUGUCAAUAUACAUCAACAAUUAGAUAUGAUAAUAUAAUUGCUAUUGCAUAUUUGUUUCACAAUGUAUUCUCAACUCAAUUGAAAAAAAAAAUUUACCAUCCGGAGCGCGUCGCAUGGGCAACAGACUAAUAUAUCUUAAAAUAAUCAUCUUGACGUUAAGAUAUACCUAAGACCUCCAUCUUAUAUUUGAGGUAAUUUUUUUCCUUGAAUAGUCAUGGACAACCUUUGUUUAGUGAAAUCACCAGCAAGAAUAUGUGACGAUGAUAUGAUUCAAUAAAGGAAUUCUUCUACAAAUAAUUAUUGAAGGUGAAUUCAUAUGGGGAGAUAAUAAAAUCUUAUUAAAGAUAUAUUUUUCUAUUCAUAUGAAGGCUCUGUUGAAGCUUAAGCUACACACAUAACGAGAGAUAACCCUUAUUAUUACACAUUGCACAAAUUGUAUUUAUUGGAGAGCCGCUUAGAAACAUAAAACCAUGUUAAAUAGUUCUGGUGAGAACCUUGUUGACAAUGGGACGAGCUUUACACAUGGCUUCUAAUGGCACGACUUUAGGCAUGGUGAUUUCACCACCUUCAGCCAUGUCAACUUCUUUCUCACUAACUCUUUCCCAUUCAAAACAUUGGAUCAAUGAACCCAAGCUCAAGCCCACAACUCGUUGAGCCAAGCCAGCUCCAGGACAUGCCCUUCUUCCUAAUCCAAAAGGCAUUAGCUUGUAUGAUUCCCACUCUCCAUUUCCAUACCUCUCAGGCUUAAAACUUGUCGGAUCAUCCCACAGCGUCGGGUCUCUAUGAAUAGCCCAUGCAUUGAUCAAUACGAUCGUGUCACGUGGCACAUCGUAUCCGCAUAUCCUGCAAUCAGUUGACGCCAUGUGUGGGAGUAGGAGAGGAACUGAAGGGUUCAACCGAAGGGUCUCAAAGAUGAUACUUUGAAGGUAUUGUAGCUUGGAAACAUCAGGUUCAUCAAUCAAAUUUUCUUGACCAAUUUGACUAUCCAGUUCGGUUCUAGCUUUCUUCAAUACAUCUUGGUUGUUGAGUAAAUUAGACAUUGCCCAUUCCAAUGUGACUGCUGAUGUAUCAGUUCCGGCAAACAACAUUACCUACACAAUAUAUAAUUUCUACCUGUAAUUAUAUUCUCAUAAAGAUUAAUAUCUACACACAAGUUAAAAUAAAACACUUUCUUCAAUGGAUUCUAUAUUAAUUUCUUCUAAAGAAGACAAUGCAAGAGAAAGGUCAACAAGUACCAUAAAACUAAUUAAUAUAAGCUCAUUAUGUUUUUGUUAGAGCGCCAACUAAUCUUUUGUAGAUAAGCCAUCGUGUGGUGUCAGCCGUGGUACCUUCCAAUUAAUACCAACUCAAACAAUCUCUUUCCACAAAAUUUGGAUUUUAAGAAUCAUUGACUUGGAUCGGUUCCAAAGUGGUCCACAUAUACAAACCACUGGCUUGGACGAUGCCUAUCAUGAGUCAUCUUGAACCAUCAGUCAUCCCUCACUGGCAAAUUCCAGUGCUAUUUGACUGGGAGGAAACCAUUCUUAAUAUAUUAAUAGUGGCAUGCACGUGCAAUUUCCUAAACCAAAUAAAAACUUUGCGAUAAUUAUACUACUAAUUAAAAAAAAAUAGUUUGGGCAUCCAUUAAUUAUUAGUUUUUUUUUUUGUCGAUACCUGUUUUGAUUUAAAAUAACCUUUCAAUUUCAUCCAAAAAAAGAACAUAAUAACCUUGCAAUCAUGAGUAAGACACUAAAACAUAAGUCUUAUUAGCUAGUUGCGAUUAGCUGAAAGUUUUAGUUUGCCCAUGAUAAAAAGUUAGUGUGAUUGAAGAUUCUUGAGCAGUAGAAAUGAUGUCGGACAUAUUUUAUAUUUUUGGCUUUUGGAUGUUACCUAUGCCCAUCUGCAUUCACCGUCACUUGUCCGUUUUAAUGAAUAAUAAGAAAAUUGGAGUGGGACAAAAUUCUUAGCCUCAGGACUGAAAAUAAUCCAACCCUAUUAAAGCUAAUGUUUCAUUAGAAGCAUCAAAAUGCCCAUCGUUCGUUCACCAAACAAUUGAAAAUAUUAUAUAUAGAGCUCUCAUCACUAGAAUCCCAUUACUAGUUUGAUUUUCCUUUUUCCCUUAGAGAAGGCUAAAUUUAAUUUCUGAUUAGAGGUUGACAUCCUAAAGGAAGAAAACAAGGGAUUAACUAAAUGUUCUUUGCAAAGCCAAAACUAUAUAUAUAUUUUAUCCCUAAAUCCAAUUACUAUGGGUUUUUUUAUUAAACAUUAAAAUUAAUAUAACAUUUUUGAGUAUUUGAUUACAGUGAUAAGUAUAUAUAUAUAUAACUUGCCAAAAAGUGGGAUUGAAAUCUCCUCUUUCUAAAAUAAAAGACAUAAGAAUUUAAGGUAGUGGUCAGGGCUCUUACAAGAAUUUGGCCUUUGAUAAGUUGAUCAGUAUAGUAAUCAGGCUCAGUUUGUUGCAAAGAAAGAAGAUGAUCAAUCAUAGUAUUCCCUUGCCUCUUAGCCCGAACCUCGUCAACCAACUUUUGCAAGAGCCCAUCCAUCCUCUCUCCAAGAUUCAUCAAUUUUUUCAAGUAACUCCUUCCACCAAUCCAAUUCAAAAUGGGCAGAAAAUCCCCUGGAUGGGCAACUCCUCCACUCGCCAAAGACUCCUUCAUUAGCUCCCUAAAUUCCUUUGCCUCGCCUUCGUCCGUCACACUGUCCCCACCAUAGUACCUCUUCCCUGCUACCAUUCUCAUAAUAUUAUUGAAAGUUAAGUCGACAAACAGAGAUCUUAACUCCACCUUGGUAAAUUCUUGUCCAGAAUUAUCAUCACUCGAUAGUUUCAGCAACAGUCGCUUGACUUCAUCUUUUCUAAUGCUUAGAAAGGCGUUCAAGCGACUGGAUGAGAAGAUUUCGAUGGCACUAAUCCGACGAAGGUUGCGCCAUUGAUCACCGUAGGGUGAGCCAACGACCGUGCUCCAAUUGUACCCAAGGUACUUGCCUAAGAGUAACUUGGGGCGGUUAGCUAGAACGAUGUCGUUUUUGGUGAAGCAUUCCUCGGCUGCUGUUGAUGACGACACUACAACUACGAGGCGGGAGCCGAACCGAAGGGAGAAAAUCGGGCCAUAUUUUUGGGAAAGACUAUGGUAAAAGCAAUGGAUGGGUCUCUUUAUAAGGUGGAGGUGGCCGAGAAAAGGAAGAGAAGGUGGACUUGGAGGAAGGUUUUGUUUGGAAGUUUUGAUUUGAAACAACAACUUGAAGCAAAAGAGAAGAAGGAUAAGAGAAAGAGAUGAGUAAAGGAUAGUUGAUUCUGGUUCCAUGUUUACAAUUUUGCUAGUUUCCUUCUUGAGCUCAAUAUGAAAAGGAAUUUUCUUUGGUAGUAUGGAAGGAAAUGAGAAGAGCUUGCUUUGUAAAUGUACAUAUAUAGAGCUAAAAACGUUUUUCAUGAUUUAAUCUUGAAAUUAACGAAGGGACAUAAGACAGUUGUAAACAUUUCAUUUUGUACGAAAUGUCUUGUUAAUAAAUUAAAAAAAUAAAUUUAAAAAAUAUUGAUAUAAUAUCUAAAAAGCCUUUCAAAUUAUAUAUAUUUAAAAAAAUAUAAAUAAAUUUUUAUAUUUUUAUUAUGUUUGAUUAAAUUUUUUAUUUUAUUUCAUUCCAUAUAUAUGUUGAGACGUGGGUGAAUGAGGAGGAGGCCUUAUAAAUGUUUUGUUGGGCGGUGUCUAUCUUUUGAACAUGUUUACUUUCCUUUGGAAUUAUAAUGGGUGAAUUCUAUGUUGCAAGGGGCAGGCUAGGGAGGAUUUUGUAUAGGGUGCUGGACAUGAGUUAAACUUUUGUGUACCUAUGAUGGGGUACCAAUUAAAGGUAAUCCCUAUAUAGAGGCGGAGUCUCUUUUAAAAUUUUAAAAUUUAAUAAUUUUUUUGUUUUUUUUCAAAUUUUAUAGUUUUGCUCUCUAUUUUUUAAAAAAAAUUUAUAAUUUUAUCCCUACAAAUAAUGAAUUUCUUCUUUUCAUCUUCUCAAACAUGAAAUUUUGACUCCGCCACUGUCUUUAUUUAUUAAUGAAAUAUACCAUGCUAAUAAAAAAAAAAAAGAAGAGUGUUUCCCAAUCUUUCACUCUCCCUCUUUAAUUACUAUGAUUCAAAUAAGUCAAGUGAUACAAUUAAUUUUUAUAAUAUAUCAAAGAGUUAAAUUUAGUCUCUAUACAAUAAUUAGUAAAAUCAAAUCUUUAUAUUUUUCAAAAUUAACAAUGUCAAUCCAAUUGUUAAUGAUGUUAAAAUUUUUCAUUAUAGAUACUGGGGUGGCAUUUGACCAAGUUGACCAGAUAUUAAAUAUGAUGACUUAUAAUUUUUGCAAUCAACUUCUAUUUGUCUUGCAUUUGUUGUUAAGUAAUUACACUUGUGUUCCUAUACUGUAUGUGUAUAGAAAUUCGACAUUAUUAAUCUUGUAAUUGCUGUGUUAAAGACUAAUUCUUCAAUCAACAUCAUGUUAUUAUAUUAUACAUGAAGAUCUUGUGAUCUCAUUGAGUUCAAUAAUACUAAAAUUUAUACGUAUUGUGUAAAUCAUGUUUCUAUUAUGUAGAAAAAUGAUUAGUGUUCAAAAAAAGGCAAGAAAAUGGACAAAGCAUGACCACACUUGUUACCCUACAAACUAAUUUGUGGUUGUAUGGGAAUUACAAUUUAACAUAUUUGUGUACAACAUUUUGCAUUUUAUAAUAACAUUGAGGUAGUUCUUUAUCCAUGAGUUUGUAAUUUAAUUACUAUUUAUAUUUAUGUAGGUAAGAGCCCAUUGACCUAUAUAUACUUUGCAAAGAAAUUGUAUUGAGAUACAAUUAUAAGAUCUUUAUGCAUCAAAGCAUUAUUUUUAAAAGUCCCUAAUUAUUGUAUUAAAAAGGGAUAUCAAUAAUGCUCAAAAAACAGUACAUGCUAUAUUCUUUACUUGUAAAGUGAGCAAUCGAUCUCAUAAGUUGCAGUUUAUAGAUACUUGGAACUAACAUAUGGGCGCUUGCCUUGGGAGAGUAAGUUCCCUGAACAUGACCAAACAUGAGAAGUGUAUUUGGUAUCUCAAUUUAGUAUCUACACAAUACUUAUAAUGUGUCAAUCAUGUAAAUACUCCUUAUACUUGAAACCCCAGGUUGUAUUAUAAGUGGAAUGCUAUGCUUUAAUUUCAUCCUUACAAGUCUUCUGAAGAAUACCAAAUCAGGAUGUUUUUGGAUAUAGUAUAAAGCUUGUGAAGGCAAAUGAGUGGUCAAGAUAGGAAUCAUCAACCCAAGUGAUUUAAAGGGACAUAUCAUUAUAGUUCUUAGUUGAUAUUAGCUUAAUCAAAUCCUUGGCCAAGGUGAUAGGGAGAUUAUGAAAUAAGUUCAUAAGUCUCUAUAAAACUAAUGAUCUAACUGCAAAAACAAAUAUGGAGAUCAAUAAGAGUAGGCAUUGCACCAUUCUCUUUUUAUUUCUAGGAUAUAUGAUGAAGAAAUGAACUACACUGAUAGACUGUACACUGAAAGGUUGUCAAAAACCUUUUGACUCUCUUAACAAUUGACUGGCCAUGAUACAUUGCUAAAUGUCAAUAUUGAUCUAUGGAAUUGAAUCAAUUUAAUUUGAAUAUAAAUCAUUUAAAUUAAUUAAUAAAGAAUAUGAUUCAAUUCUAGUACCAACAUGUUAAGAACUUAAUAAGUCACAUAUAAACUAGGUUUUUAACUAUUAGGGACUUAAUUAAAAUGAUUUAAUUAAGUACUUGGUUAAUAUUAUAAGGAGUUAUAAUAUUGAGGACUUAGUUAAAAAAUAAGUAAAUUAUUUAACCUAUAUAUAAAAGGUCUUUUUCUAACCACUCUUCACAAGAGAAUUCUUGUCAGAAAAAUUGAGUCCCUUUCUUGUGCCACCACCCUUGUGAGAGCUCUUGGGAAGAGUUUCUCUUGUGUGGUUUGGCUGGAGAUUCAAUAAAGAAGAGUAGGACAAUCGGUUGUCCACUUUGCUAGCAGAUAGACAUGGUUAGAAAGCUCUCUCCUUGUUGAAGUUUCCAUUGAAGCUAUAUGUGCAUCUGUUGGAGGCCAAAUAAUUGAGUGGCUUGGAUUAUUUCCUCCUUUGUGGUGUUCACAGUUUGACUACUGAAUGGGUGCCAUCAUGAUGACCACAUCACUUGGUAAGGUAAUCUAAUUUUUCUGAUUAUUUCUCUCUUUCUCAAAGUCUUUGUUUGCAUUAAAACACCAAGAAGAUCUAUGGUAAGUGUGACAUGGUGUUUAGUUUAGUUUGUUUAGGUUUUUUUUUAUAUAUAUUUCUUCCAUUGCCAUGAUCUCUUCCAUGUCAUUCCCAACAAUACCAAGACCUUAAAAUUGAAAUUUCCAAACUUAGUGUAAGUAAAUAAUUAUGCUAUCGUACGUUAUUUUUUCAAUAUUUUAUACUGAUUUUACAUAUCUUUUAUUUCAUUCAAAAACUAUGAAAAGCCUAAUGAUCUGCUACUACAAAAUAAUUUCUCGUAACAACUAGGAAUCUUUUUGCUUACUUAUGUACUUAUAAUUUUAAAUUUCGCAUGUUAUUACCCAAAGAAAGAAAAAUGAUUGAUAGAAAAUAUAAGGAAACAAACGUAGCCUCCUUACCAAUCUCAACACACGUGUUGCAACUAGAAUCAAGAAAGGGAAAUAUAAAGCUUGAACAUGAGAAUGUUAUCACCAAAUGCAUUGAUAUUAUUAUAUUGUUUAAUUUUUUGCAUUCCACUUUGAGAAUUAUAGAUUUUUGUUUACUGUCAUGAAGCUAUUGGCCAUUGCCAUUGCCUUGGUUUUUGUUUUAAUGGCCUCUAAAUUCAAACAGGAUUAUAGAUUUUUGUUUUUAUAUUUAAAUGGUUUCCUAUAGAUUUUGAUAUUAUAUGGUAUCAAAUUUAGAUCAUGUCAUACAUAAUUUUGGUAUAGAUCAGUCCGAUAUGUUUUAUGGUGUUUAGCGUCUCAGUAUAAUGUAAUGUAACGCUAUCUUUUGUGGGUAGCAGUAUUUAUAUUGGGCUACAUGCUUUGUAUCAAUUUCUGUGCCUUGGCAGUUGAUUUAUCACUGUUCUAUUGGCUUUUGGUCAUCCCUUGGUUUUUCAGGGUGUUGUAUCGUCUUUGAUACUUAAUAAUAAAUCAAUCUUGAUUGAGAAAAAAAUGGGUUUCAAUUAAAACUUGGGAAUUUAAUCCUCUGUUUAUUACUGCUAUAGUUAAACUUAAUUAGAUUACUUAGAUUGCUAUGAAGGAUGUUGUUAAUGUAGUAGUUAUAUUAACUUUUGUUAAUUUGAUUUUCAUAAUAAUUGAAUGAUCAAUAGGUUCAAACAUCAAAAAAACUUGAUAACACCAUUAUUGUCAUUAGAUUCAAUUUAAUGAGUCAAGAGAGAAUUUUUCCUGAGUUCAUCCCAACAAGUUUAUUUCAUCGAUAAUCGCACUUAAUGUAUAACAAUUAUAUACAAUCCAAAUCAUCCAAAAUCUAAUAAUAACAAUAAUAAAAUUGUACAAUGCACUAAUGGUGUUUUGCUACAAGAAUAUGUAUUCUAGCUAAGUGAUCAAAGCCUAUUUUUGCAAUAUGUUCACCAAACUUAUAACAAAUAAACUAAACAUUUUCCUUGUACAAUACCUUAUUCACGAUAGGGCGAGCUUUACACAUAGCCUCCAAUGGUCGAGCUUUAGGCAUGGUGCUUCUUGUUCCAUCAGUCAUAUCAAUUUCCUUCGUAUCAACCCUUUCCCACUCAAAGCAUUAAAUCAACGAUCCCAGAGUUAAUCCCACCAAACGCUGAGCUAGGCUUGCUCUUGGACAUGCCCUCCUUCUUAACCCAAAUGGCAUGACCUUGUGUGAUUCCCCUUUCUCGUUUUCAAAUCUCUCUAACUUGAAACUUGUUGGAUCAUCCCAUAGUUUUGGAUCCCUAUGAAUAGCCCAUAAGUUGACCAGUAUGAUCGUGCCACGUGGCACGUCGUAUCCACCUAUGGUGCAAUCAUUGGAUGCCAUACGUGGAAGCAGGAGAGGAGCUGCAAGGUAUAAUCGAAGAGUCUCAGAUAUGACGCUUCAAAGGAAACUAGUCUUCUGCUAGUGCAAUUCGCUCGUGAUGGUAAAAAAAAUUUUUUUUCUAAUUGAAUUGAGAAUACAUUGUGAAAUAGAUAUAUAAUAGUAAUUAUAUUAUCAUAUCUAAUUGUUGAUGUACAUUAACAUGUAUAAAAUAUCAUUUUAUAAAAUAUAUAACUAUUGUUAUUGUGGCCAUCAAUAUUUGUGAUGGUGCUUCUGUACAAAAAAACAAAACCUUAUAUAAAAUCUCCAAACUUAUAGUAAAAUGUGUAGUAACUCAAUCUCCCUUAAAAUUCUAUUUUUAGUUAGUUGAUCUGCACCACUUUUCAUUAGUUACAUUUAACAUUGAAAAAUAGAAUAUGCAAUAACUCAAUUUCUCUCAAAACCCUAUCUUUAACUAGCUGAUAUGCACCGCUUUAUAUUAGUUACAUUUAACACUUAAAAAAUAAAAUAUGUAGUAACUCAAUCUCUCUCAAAGCCCUAUCUCUUAGUUAGUUGAUAUGCAACUUUUUACAUUAGUUACAUUUAAUAUUGAAAAAUGAUAUGAGAGUAAUAAAUAAUGGAAUUUUUUAUAAAUACUCACAUAUAAACUAUGAGAGAGAAAAAAUCUAAUCCAAACCUAACCCCAUACCCUAAGCUCGAGCCUAAAAAGCCAACCACAAACUAAUCGCAUUAUACCUCAAGCCCAUGCCUCAACAACCACGUGUCAAACCAAGAACCUCGUCAAGUGUAAAGCCAAAAACCCUUUGAGAAUUUCUUUAAAUAUAACAAACCCUUUUUGGUUAUUCUUAAUUUUCAAUGCUUAAUUUGUUGUAAAAAGCUUAUAUGAGAUUAUAUAUUAGCUUAAAUAGGACGCCCACAUGCAUGUAAGUGUAUUCUUUUUUUUUCAUAGUCAAGUUUAUUUAGUGAUCUAAAAUGCAUAUAAGUGUUUUAUUUUUAUUUUUUUCAUAAUCAAGUUGAUUUAGUGAUCUAAAGUUGUAUAAUCAAUUAUGUGCUUGUUUGCUAAUGAUGAAGCAAAAAAAGUGUAACUAUACAAAUUAUAUUACUACUUUUACAACUCAGUUUUCUCUUAACUUUUUUCUCUUAUUUAUACUCAUAAAUUUUAGAUGAUAAGAUAGGCCUAAAAUGGGGUAUUUCAAUAAUGUCAAAUUUUAUGUGUGUUUAAGAAGAAACAUAUUUUGUAGCCGUUGAAUAAAGUAGAAAACUUUGAAAACACUCAUUUUGGAAAUUUUAUAAGAUUUGUGUACCUUUAUAUGGAUAUCAUCAAAAAAAUUAUUGACAUGUAAGUAAGCAUACUCAUAUUUUGGAUUUAAUUGAUUUUCAUUUAUGUGGUUGUUAGAAAUUUUCUUUUUAUAUUAUUAAUAAAUUUAAGAAAUGAGAAUGACCGAGUAAUUAGCUUUGUCAAAUAGUUAAAUCAAUAUAAAUGUCAUUUCACCUAGAAGUGAACCUCUCACAAAGUAAUUGACUUUUGAAUUUGAGCUUUAUAGUCGAUUUCCUUCUUCAAGCAAUAUCAUUACCAAGUGUCAAGCAAGAAAGGCCCAAAGGGGUUUAUAGUUAUAGAUUGCUAUUUGGUCCAUGAGGAAGAGAUUUAAUUAAACACGACGUGGAAAAAAUCUUAAAUUACAAUAAUGUUUAAGUUAAAAGAUAAAGGAAGAUUUUUUAAUGUUUUUUCUAUAUAAAUAACUUUUGAGCCAUGGUAUUUACUUUAUCACUGUUGUUUUAAAUAUUUUUAUCCAUUGACGUGGUAUUGGAUGAAUUUCAAUUAUAAUCGAAUUAAUAAGUUAUUAUUGUAUCAUAAAACAAAAAGUGUUAGGAUAAAUAAUAUUUUUCAUUUUUUUUAGUACGGCAAAUUCUAAAUUAAUUAGUGGACCAUAUAUGGCUCUUUUAAAAAAGAAAAAGUGAAUCAUAACUUUUGUUUGGAAUAAUAAUUAGUUUUAAGUAAGGUGAUAUGUAUAAAUACUUAAUGCCAUUUAUUUGGCUAAAAAUAGUAACUUAUUUAAGAUUUUUGAUUGAUAAUGGGUAAUUUUGUAAUUUUAUAAUUUUUGGGACUUCUUUGAUCAUUGUCAAGUGUCAAGCAAGGAAGCCCCUUGGGACUUCCUUUAAAUAUAGUUAUAGAUAUAUAAUUCACAGUAAAAAGAGUUAAGAAAUUAAGAAGCUCGACUUAUUGUGAAUAAAGUUCUUCAUAAAAUUAUUGAUAAUGAUUAUUAAUUCAUAAACUAAAUUGAAAACAAAUAAUUAUUUACAAUUUUAUCAAAGUAUUUUGUGUUUUUUUAUUAUAAUGUUUUCUGUGUAAAGUAAACACUAAUAACAAAAGCAACAAUUAAAGAGAGAUCGAUAAAGCAUAUGUUCAGAUCAUUGACUUUUUACACAAUAAAAUAUAUUUAAGAUGUAUCAAUUAAGUAAUUCAAAAAGCUACAUGAUUAUUAUGAAGAUAAAUAUAAUGCCACGGUAUAAUCUUCCCGUACUUAAACAUUUAGUUAAAUAUUAAAUAUAGUACGGUUUCAAAAAAAUACCAAAUAUAGUAUGUACUGUUUAAAAAUUAAAAAGGGGAAAGAAAAGCUAUACGUGUUUCCGAAGAAGCAUGUGAAGAUGUGGUCAAAAAAUACGGAGAGGCGAGUAGAUGGAAUGAAGCAUGAGAGUGAGGAAAUUGACGGUUGAUAAAAGACGUAACAUUCAAAGAGUGGAAGUUUCAAUCAUAGAAAGGUAUCCCUCCUCUCCUUUGCUGGAAGAGUAUCACGUAUGCGCUGACGCCUGGUGGAGCACGAUGUAUAACAUUAAUUAAUUACGACCACUUUUGCAAAGAUAGGAGACGGCGAGAUCGAGAGGGGGAAAGGGGAAAUAAGCCAAGGAAGACCCGUAAUUAUAAAUGUUCCAUGUUCAAAGUCUGACAAGGAAAAGUCCACCCAUACUUUAUUCUCCAAUUAAAAGACGGCUCCAGAUUUUUGCAGUUAGUUCUUGGAUAACACCCUCAUUAUAUAUAAACAAAAGGUUUUUAAAGAUAAGAUAUUUUUAAAAAUAGCACUCUUUAUAAGUUUAAUUAUUUUUAAUCAAGUUAGAUAAAAUUAUUUUUAAUAAAGUUGCACGUUAUGAUAUUACAUGUCAUGUACAAAAACCUGUGACAAGCUAUGGUUAGUGUAUUACACGCUAUGUACAAAAAUAUGUGAUACGUCAUGUACAAAAACCUAUGACAAGUUAUGAUUAACUUGUUACAUGCCAUGUACAAAAACUUGUGAUAUGCCGUGGUUAGUGUGUUACAUGCUAUAUACAAAAAUAUGUGACACGUCAUAUACAAAAACUUGUGACAAGCUAUGAUUAGCGUGUUACACGCUAUAUACAAAAAUAUGUGACAAGCCAAGUACAAAAUCCUGUGACAAGCUAUGGUUAGGAUGUUACACGCCAUAUACAAAAACUUGUGACAAGCCAUGAUUAGGUUGUUACACGCCAUGUUGAAAAAAAAUACUGUUGUUACACGCCAUGUAAAAAAAAUGUGUUACACGUCAUGGUUAAAAAAAUGUUGUUACAUGCCAUGUUGAAAAAAAAAAUAUUGUUGUUACACGCCAUAUUGAAAAAAUAUUAUUAUUACACGACAUAUUCAAAAAUAUUUUGUUAUACUUUAAUGUCUAAAAUGUUGUUGUUAUUACUUACGAACCAAAAUUUCAAAUCCUCUCAACCUUUUUUUUUGUUUUUCUGACAAUUUGGCAUAGAUUAAAGUGUUUCUAACAUGUUUUCAUAAAUCAAAAUACAAAUAUUUUUUUAUUUAAAAUACCUACUUUGACUAAAAAAAAAUUCUUUGAAAACCUACAUUUAUAAAUUUCAAAAUUUUGAGUUUAUAGGUAUCUAGGUCUCGAAUUGAUUCAAUUAAAAGCUAUUUUAUACAUUUGUGAUUAUUUUUACAGUUUUAUUUUUAUCCAAAAUACCUAAAAAUCGAAUUUUUCAAACAGUCAACCACUCACCCAAGCACGUCAAAACCAUUGCUUGGUGUCUUAAAAGCGUAAGAAAGAGAAAUCUGAAAACGCGAGAGAGAGAAAUCGGAAGCAUAACAGAUAAAUGCCGAACAGAGAAAUUGAUAAAAUUUGAGAGACUGGAAUGGUGAGAGAGAAAUCCGAAGCACAGAUGAGGAGUAAUGAGGAGAAAUUAUGAUGAAUAGUUUAAUUUAUUUGAAAUAGUUUAAAAAAUAUUUUCGUCAAGUCAUCACUAAAUAUCGGUAAAAACAGUUAAACUUAUUUUGAUGGUUACUUUUAAAAUGUCUUUAUAAAGAAAAGUCAUCUCCCACAAUUUCCUCUAAAGAAAACCGUUUCAUUUCUUCACACCAUAUAAAUUAAACCCAUCAUCAAAUUAAAGUCGAAAAGGUUCAACGAGGCAAAUUAAACAUGGAAGAAACAACAAUUCUUUACUCCUCUCUUUCUCUUGUCUUACUCCUCAUUUCUUUAAACUUCUUCUUUCAAUCCAAAAAAUCCCACAAAAACCUCCCUCCAAGCCCACCUUCACUUCCCAUCCUUGGCCACCUCCACCUCCUAAAACCCCUCAUCCAUCGCUCCUACCAUACUCUUUCCCAAAAAUACGGUCCUAUCUUUUCCAUCCAGCUUGGCUCUCGACUUCAGGUUGUAGUAUCAUCUUCAGCCGCAGCCGAGGAAUGCUUCACCAAGAACGAUAUCAUCUUGGCUAAUCGCCCCAAGUUAAUCCAGGGGAAGCACCUAGGCUACAACUAUACCACACUUAUAGCCUCGCCUUAUGGUGACCAUUGGCGCAACUUACGUCGAAUCGGUGCCAUUGAAAUCUUCUCAUCAAGUCGCCUAAACACAUCAAUAAGUGUUCGAAGAGACGAAAUCAGGCGCUUGUUGCUGAAACUGUCGCGUGAUUCGCGCCAACACUUCACGAAAGUGGAGCUGAAAUCUAUGCUCUCUGAGUUGACGUUCAAUAACAUCAUGAGGAUGGUAGCAGGGAAGCGGUACUAUGGAGAUGAAGUGACAAAUGAAGCAGAAGCAAAAGAGUUUAGGGACUUAAUAGCAGAGGUAGUUAAGCAUGGUGGGGCAGCAAACCCAGCAGAUUUCUUUCCGAUGUUGAGCUGGUUUGGUCAAUGGUAUGAAAAGAAGGAUAAGAAGCUUGGAAAGAGAAUGGACGUGUUCUUUCAAAAGUUGAUUGAUGAGCACCGAAGUUACAGGCAGGAAAAUACUAGUAUGAUUGCUCACCUUCUUUCCUUGCAAGAAUCUGAGCCUCAUUACUACACUGACGACAUUUUGAAAGGGCUCGUAUUGGUUAGUUGAACUUGAAUCUUUUUCUUUUGUCCUUUCCCUUUUCGUUGUUUGUACGGCUGAAAGUCCAAUGAGCUUGAGAUACACAAACCGAUCAUUCCUUUCCGACUAUUCAAACGUGAAACCUCUUACUCUUAGUUCUAAUUGUUCUAUUGUAUUGGCAUGCAUGUUUAACAAACAAACCUUAUUGUGCAGGUGAUGAUAGUUGCAGGAACAGACACAUCUGCAGUCACAUUAGAGUGGGCAAUGUCCAAUUUGCUUAACCACCCAGAAGUGUUGAAGAAAGCUAGAGCUGAAAUAGACAGUCAAAUUGGCCAAGAAAACUUGAUUGAUGAGCCAGAUGUUUCCAAACUACAUUACCUUCAAAGCGUCAUAUCCGAGUCUCUUCGAUUAUACCCUGCAGCUCCUCUUCUGCUUCCACAUAUGGCAUCCAGUGAUUGCACCAUAGGUGGAUACAACGUGCCGCGUGACGCGAUCGUACUGAUCAACGCAUGGGCUAUUCAUAGGGAUCCAAAACUAUGGGAUGAUCCAACAAGUUUCAAGCCAGAGAGAUUUCAAAAAGAGAAGGGAGAAUCACACAAGCUCAUGUCAUUUGGGCUAGGAAGAAGGGCAUGUCCAGGAGCAAACCUAGCUCAGCGUUUGGUGGGAUUAACUCUGGGAUCAUUGAUUCAAUGCUUUGAGUGGGAAAGGGUUGAUGGCAAGGAAAUUGACAUGAUUGAAGGAACGGCAGGCAUCAUGCAUAAAGCUCAGCCAUUGGAGGCUAUGUGUAAAGCUCGCCCCAUCGUGAAUAAGGUAUUGUGCAAGGAAAAUGUUUAGUUUAUUUGUCAUAAGUUUGGUGAACAUAUUGCAACAAUAGGCUUUGAUUUCUUAGCUAGUAUACAUAAUCUUGUAGCAGGGCACCAUUAGUGCAUUGUUCAAUUUUAUUAUUGUUAUUAUUAUAUUUUGGAUGAUUUGGAUUGUAUAUAAUUGUUAUAUAUUAAGAGCCAGCAUCAAUGAAAUAAAUUUGUUGGGAUGAACCAGGGAAAAAUAUCCUCUCUUGACUCAUUAAAUUGAAUCUAAUAGCAACAAUGGUGUUAUCAAGUUUUUCCUGAUGUUUGAACCUAUUGAUCAUUCAAUUAUUAUGAAAAUCAAAGUAACAAAAGUUAAUAUAACUACUGCAUUAACAACAUCCUUUACAGCAAUCAAAGUAAUCUAAGUUUAACUAUAGCAAUAAUAAACAGAGGAUAAAUUCCCAAGUUUCAAUUGAAACCGAUUUUUUCUCUCAACCAAGACUGAUUUAUUAUCAAGUAUCAAAAACGAUACAACACCCUGAAAAACCAGGGCAUGACCAAAAGCCAAUAGGACAAUGAUAAAUCAGCUGCCAAGACACAUGGCCACAGAGAGAAAUUGAUACAAAGCAUAUAGCCCAACAUAAAUACUGCCACCCACAAAAGAUAGCGUUACAUUACAUUAUACUUAGACGAUAAACACCACAAAACAAACUGGACUGAUCUAUACCAAACUUAUGUAUGACAUGAUCUAAAUUUGAUACCAUAUAAUAUCAAAAUCUAUAGGAAACCAUUUAAGUAUAAACAAAAAUCUAUAAUCCUGUUUGAACUUUAGAGGCCAUUAAUUAAAACAAAAAUCAAGGCAAUGGCCAAUAGCUUUAUGUACAUGAUGACGAUAAACAAAAAUCUAUAAUUUUCAACGUUUUAUGCAAAAAAUUAAAUCAAGGAUGGCUCAAUAACCUCAAGGGCCUAAAGCUAAAUAUUUAAUUAAGGUUUUUUUUUUUGAAAUUAAGAAAAUGAAACCUUUUUUAUUGAAAUAGCUAAAGAUCAUUAAAUAUGUAUUAUUGUUAGUUGAUCGGGAACAAGAGAAAUAGUUGAGAAUUAAUAUGAUUGUGAAAAUUAGGAAGUGAUAAAAAAUUGAGAUUAUUAAGGACAUAAUUAGAGAAUUGAGAAAAUAUGUCAUUUUAUUUAUUAUUCCAUUUUUAUAUAUUUUUAAUAAGAAAUGAGAUAAAUAGUUGAAAAUUAACAAGAAGGUGAGAAGUAAGAGAAAAUACAUAUUUAUUAGGCAUGAGUGAAUAAGUAGAUAUUUUAUUAAUUAUUUAAAUUUUUAUAUAUUUUUAAUAUAAAUUAAUUAUAUCAUUAUAAAAUUGUGAGACCUAUUAAAAUUUGAGGUCUGAAGGAAGGGCUUUGCUCGCGUUACCCUAGAGCUAGCCCUAAAUUAAACAAUAUAAUAAUAUCAAUGCAUUUGAUGAUAACAUUCUCAUGUUCAGGCUUUAUAUUUCCCUUUCUUGGUUCUAGUUGCAACGCUUACUUAUGUUAAGAUUGGUGAAGAGGCCACAUUUUUUUCCUUAUAUUUUCUAUCAAUCAUUUUUCUUUCUUUGUGUCUCAAAGUAAAAAUGGUAAUGGCACGCAAAAUUUAAAACUAUAAGUACAUAAGUAAGCAAAAAGAAUCCUAAUUGUUAGGAGCAAUUGAUUUGUAGUAACAAAACAUUAGGCCUUUCAUAGUUUUUGAAUGAAACAAAAGAUAUGUAAAAUCAAUAUAGAAUAUAGAAAAAAUUAAUGUACGAUAGCAUAAUUAUUUACUUACAUUGAGUCUAGAUAUUUUAGUUUUAGGAUCUUGGUGUUGUUGGGAAUGGCAUAGAAGAGAUCAUGACAGCAGAAGAAAUAUAAAAAAAAAAACCUAAACAAACUAAACUAGACACCAUGUCGCACCUACCAUGGAACUUCUUGGAGUUUUGAUGCAAACAAAGACUUUGAGAAAGAGAGAAGUAAUAAAAAAAAAUCAGAUUACCUUGCCAAGUAAUGUGGUUAUCACAAUGACACCCUUAGGUAGUAAAACCAUGAACACUACAAAAGAGGAAAAAACCUAAGCCACUCGAUUAUUUGACCUCCAACAAAUGCACAGACACUUGCAAUGGAAACUUCAACAAGGAGAGAGCUAUCUAACCAUGCCUAUGUGCUAGCAAAGUGGACAACCAAUUGUCCUCCUUUUCCUUACUCAAUUCUAUCCAAACCACACAAGAGAAACUCUUCCCAAGAGGUCUCACAAGGGUGGGGGCACAAGGAAAAGACUCUCAAUUUUUCUGACAAAAAUUCUCUUGUGAGGAGUGGUUAGAAAAAGACCUUUUAUAUCUAGGCUAAAUAAUUUACUUAUUUUUCAAAUAAGUCCUCAAUAAUAUAACUCCUUAAACAUUGACCUAGUACUUAAUUAAACCAUUUUAAUUAGGUCUCUAAUAGUUAAAAACCUAGUUUAUGAUUUAACUAUAAUUUAAAUCGUACACACAAUUUAAUCUAUAAUGCAAAUUUUGUACGUGACUCAUUAAGUUCUUAACAUGUUGGCAAUAGAAUUGAAUCACAUUCUUUAUUAAUUAAUUUAAAUGAAUCAUAUUCAUAUUAAAUUGAUUUAACUCCACAAGUCAAGAUUGAAAUCUAACAAUGCAUAAUGGCCACCCAAUUCUUAGGAGAAUCAAUGGGGUCUUUUUACAAUCUUUCAGUGUGCAAUCCAUCAAUUUAAUUCAUUCCCUCAUCAUAUAUCCCGAAAAUGAUGAGAGCAUGGUGUAAUGUCUAUUCUUUUUGAUCUCUAUAUUUGUUCUUGUAGUUAAAUCAUUAGCUUUAUAGAGACUUAUGAAACUCAUUUCAUAAUCACCCAAUCACAUUGGCUAAGGAUUUGACUAAGAUAAUAUCAACCAAAAACUAUUAGGAGAUAUUCCCUUGAAUUAUUUAGGGUGAUGAUUCUUAUCUGGAGCACUUAUUUGCCUUUACAUGCUUCAUAUUAUAUCUAAAAACAUCAUGAUUUGACAUCCUUAGUAAGACUCAUAAAGAUGAAAUCAAAGCAUAGGACUUCACAUAUAAGAUAACUUGGUGUCUGAAAUCUAAGGAGUAUUUACAUGACUGACACAUUAGAAGUAUUGCAUAGACACUAGAGUAAGAUAUCAAAUGCACUUCUCAUGUUGGAUCAUGUUCAGUGAACCUGCUCCCCCAAGGCAAGCACCCACAUGCUAGUUCCAAUCUAUAUAGUUUAAUAUGAGCUUAGUUGCUUACUUCACAAGGAACAUAGCAUGUGUCGAUUUUUAGCAUUAUUGAUGCCCUUUUCUUAAUAAUACAAGGAUCAAGAACUUUUAAGAACAGUGCUUUGAUGCAUAAUGAUCUUAUAAUUGUAUCUCAAUAUAAUUCCUUUGCAAAGCAUAUAUAGCUCCAUGGGUUUUUAUCUACAUAAGUAUAAACAAUAACUAAAUUACGAAUUCAUAGAUAAAAAACUACCUCAAUGUUACCAUAAAUAACAAAAUGUCGUACAUAAAUAUCUUAAAUUGUAAUUCCUAUAAAACCACAUAUUAGUUUAUAGGGCCCAUACUAACAUGUGUGGUCAUGCUUUGUCCAUUUUCUUGCCUCUUUUUGAAGCCUAAUCAUUUUUUUACAUAAUAGAAACAUGAUUUAAAUGAUACAUAUAAAUUUUAGUAUUACUGAGCUCAAUGACACCACAAGAUCUUCAUGUAUAAUAUAAUAACAUGAAGUUGAUUGAAUAAUUAGUCUUUAACACAAUAACUGCAAGCUUAAUGAUGUUGUAUUUCUAAACACAUAUAAUAUAGGAACACAAAUGUAAUUACUUAACAACAAAUGCAAGACAAAUAGAAGUUGAUUGCAAAAUUUAUAAAUCAUCAUAUUCAAUAUCUCGUUAACUGAGUCAAAUGCCACACCAGUAUACAUAAUGAAAAAAAUUUUAACAUCAUUAAUGAUUGAAUUGACAUUAUUAAUUUUGAAAAACAUAAAAUUUGAUUUUAUUAAUGAUUAUAUAAAGACUACUGAUUAACACUUUGAUAUAUUAUAAGAAUCCGUUGUAUCACUUGACUUAUUUAAAUCAUACUAAUUAAAGACGGAGAGUGAAAGAUUGGAAAACAUUUUCUUUUUUUUUUUCAAUAAGCAUGGUAUAUUUCAUUAAUAAAUAAGGGCUACCUUUAAUUCGUACCUCACCAUAGGUAAACAAAAGUUUAACUCAUGUCCAGCACCUUAUACAAAAUCCUCCUUAGUUUGACCUUCACAACAUAAAACCCAGCCUAUAAAAUUCCAAAGGAAAGAAACAUGCUAAAAAAAGAAGACAAAACCCAACAAAACAUUUAUAAGACCUCCUCCUCAUCAACCCACAUCUCAACACACGUACGAAAUAAAAAAAUUAUAAAAAUUUAAUUAAAUAUAAUAAAAAAUAAAAAUUUAUUUGAAUUUUUUAAAAUAUAUAUAAUUUAAUGGCUAUUUAAAUAUUGAAAAGUUUGAAUACUCUCUUAAAUGAUUUAUUCGAUUAAUAUUCAUCCGUUUAUAUACAAGUCAUAGCAUUAAUAUAAAAGAAAAAUAAUAUGUACAAUAAAGUGUAAUGCUUAAAUAAAGGUUUUAACAUCCUAUAAUUAAGGAAAUUAAGGGCAUUAGAUCAGGAAAUUAUAUCACUAAGUUAAUGAGCAUAUCUGUCAUGAUCCUCAGCAUAUCUAUCAUAUUUGUCAUGAUCCCUAGCAUAUCUGUCAUGAUCCCUAUUAUCCUUCAUUAUGAUAUCUAUCAUGAUUCCCUAAUAUCCUUCAUUACUUCCCCUCAAGUUGGAGCAUGAAGAUUAGUAAUGCCCAACUUGGCCAUUAAAUCAUGGAAAUGAUUCCGUCCAAAAGCCUUGGUAAAAAUGUCUGCCAACUAAAAUUAUGAUGAGAUGGAUUAUGGAACAAGGGUUUUGAAUUGGAUGUGUUGUCUGAUAAAAUGACAGUCUAUUUUGAUAUGCUUGAUACAUUCAUGAAAAACUGGAUUUGCAGCAAUGUGAAGUGUAACUUGAUUGUCACAAAAUAAUGAAGCUAGUGAUGGGUGUGAAAUUCGAAGGUCAGCUAAUAAUUUAAGAAGCCAUACAAUCUCACUUACUGUCGUGGCCAUGGCCCUAUACUCUGCUUCUGCGAAAGAACAAGAAACAACUAACUGUUUCUUAGAUCGCCAUGAGAUAAGAGAUGAACCAAGAAAGAUGAUGUAUCCAGUGGUUGACCUAUGUGUUGUUGGAUAACUUGCCCAAUCUGCAUCACAGUAAACUUUGAGAGUCAACUGACUAUUAGCAAGAAGCAACAAACCCUGGCCUAGGGACCCUGUCAUAUAUCUAAGAACACGUAGAGCUGCAUCGAAAUGAAGCUAACGUGGGCAAUGCAUAAAUUGACUUAGUACAUGAAUGAGAAAACUAAUAUCAGGUCUUAUGAUAGUGAGAUAUAAUAACCUUCCAAUUAACCUUCUGUGCUACCCUGGAUCUGAACAAAAGUGGUCCUUCAUUAGGAUGGAGCUUGACCUGUUGGUCCAUAGGUGACGAAACAAGCUUGCAACCAAUGAGGCCGUUAUUUGCCAAUAUAUCAAGCACAUAUUUCCGUUGGCUCAAGACAAUGCUGGAUGGAUAACAUGCCACCUCGAUGCCCAAAAAAUAUUUCAGCUUGCUCAAAUCUUUAAUACAAAAUUCACGAUCCAAGUGAGCCUUUAGUUUGAAAUCUUAAAUGCAUCAGUCCCUGUUACUAUAAUGUCAUCAACGUAGAUUAAUACUGCAACAAAUGACUCAUUGGCAGAGUAUGUGAAUAGAGAAUGAUUGGCAUACGAUUGAAUAAAUCCAAUGGCUAGUAAGGAAUUAGUAAACUUUUGAUACCAAUUUCGCGAUGCUUGACAAAGUCCAUAUAGAGAUUUCUUAAGUCGAUAGACACACUACUCCUUAUUUCUAGCAAGGCCUUGAGGUAUUUUCAUGUAGACUUCUACUUCUAAUUCCCCAUGUAAAAAGGCUUUGUUGAUGUCCAGUUGGUAUAACUCCCAAUGGCGUACAGCAGUGAUAGCUAAAAGACAGCGUACUAUGACCAAUUUUGCAACCGAAGCAAAGGUCUCAUGGAAAUCCACCCCUUCAAUUUAUGUGUAACCCUUGGCGAAUAAAGGAUAUUAAAGAAUCAUGACAGAUAUCGUAAUGAAGGAUAAUGGGGAUUAUAACAGAUAUGUUGGGGAUCAUGACAAAUAUGCUGGAGUGGGUACACAUUGUUGUUGAUUUCUCAAGCAAGUGCACAUAUCGUUAACAAGUAAUAGAGUAAUGAAGUAGAGUAUCGUUCCCACAAAGAAUUGUUUAAUUCCUACUAUUAACUACUAAAAUUAUAACACCUUAAUUUUAUCCAAAUAAUUAAAAUAAAAAAAAACUAAAACUAAUAAAUUGAAACCAAAAUUAAAUAGUAAAUAAAAGUCACUUAACUACGGAUCUAAGAUUAUACUAUCCCUCAAUACUUCAUCUGAUUGUUGUCUCUCUCUCUUAACUCAGUUUAAUGGAUUAAGUUGUUAACCUAGAAUCCUAAAUUAUUUACAAGUCUCUGUCGAGUUUCCCAUAAAAAUACCUCUCCCAAUUAAUUUACUAUUUUUUUUAAAAGCCCCAAUUAAUUUAUUAUAUGUCUAUGCAAAUUAAAUUGAAGAAAGAUUCAUUAAGUUUGUGCUCUAAUCCUAACUACGUAUGACUUAUAGGUGUAUGUCCACCCUAGAUGCAAAUCAAAUCACCUAAUCAACUAAAUGCAUUCAAUCAUACGCUAUUCUAUUCAAGGUCUACCUAAAUCUCCUUCGUUAAGGUUUAACCUAGGUUUCCUAUUCAAUCUAAUUGGUGAUCAGGCAAUUAGAACAUUGAGAAUAUAAUAAAAUAAACGACUUAAAUCCAUCAAACAUAAACAAAAGAGAGAUAAAUAAAUCAGACUACAUAUUGAGUUCAAUCAUAAUCUUAGAUAAAUAAUUUAAUUCCUCAUCAAGUCACAUGUUAUCAUCAAAAUAAGUUUAAACAUUGAAAACAAAACUAAGAAAAAUAAAGAAUACAGAAACUCUAAGAGUAAAACUCUUGAUCUCCAAUUUUUUUUGAAUCCUUCAAAUUCUUCUCAACUUUAAUGACUCUGUGGCUUGACUCUCAGCUGUCAAACUGGUGUUUCAUUCUCUCUCUUUUAAAAGUCUUUCAAAAGAUUAUUUUUAUAGACUUUGAAGUUAGGCUAAGUUGGGUGAAGAAAAAAGUCAAUUUCAAUCAGGAUUUCCUCAUCAGACUAUGUGGGUCACAGCCUUUUCCAAUUGAUUAACAGAAAUCGUAAUAACUCUAAGACUACUACAGUAUAUUAACUUCGACAAGAAUUUUUACCAUAUUCCAAGCCGAACUAGGUAAAGUGGUAAACAUGAAAGUUGUACAGUUUUUCUUAUCUUUUUUAUGGACCAAGAAUCUCUUCAUUUGGAACUCUAUAGAGAAAGUUAUGGCUAAAAUACCGAAUUAACUAAUUUAAAAUAAUUAAGUAAAAUCUACUAAUUUUUAAGCAUUACUACAAGAACUAAACUAAAUUACUAUUAAAAUUAAGCUCAAAUAACUCUAUAUCAUAAAGUUAUCACACAUUCACUCCAAAAGGUGAUAAAAAGGUUGGCUUGAAAUCGAAGUGCUCAUGUUACUUCUAAGAGGUGUUGAUAUUUGCGUUCCACCACACCAUUUUGCUGAGGUGUGUCUGUGCAACUAGUUUGUCUUUCCAUGCCAUGCUCAAACUAAUGAUCCACCAAAUCUUCAUGCUUAAAUUCCAAACCGUUGUCUAUUCGCAAUAUCUUGAUUUGUGUAUUGAAUUGUGUCAUGACCCACUAGAAGAAAUAAAGCAAGAGAUUUCUAGUUUUUGAUUUUUGCUUCAUAAGAAAAACCCAUGUUGCUCGGCUAUAAUCAUCAACAAUAGUGAGAAAAUAAUGUGCUCCUGAAAAGGAUGCAGUGUGAUAAGGCCCCCAAAAAUCCCAAUGGAUUAAAUCAAAGGCAUGUAAACUUUUAUUUCUACAAAUUGGGAAAGGCAAUCUAGUUUGUUUCGCUCUACAACAAGCAUUGCAAAGAAAAUUGUCCUUUCCAAUGCAGGUGACAAAUAAAUUUGGAACUAUUGAAAGAUUAUCCAAAGGAAUGUGCCCCAAUCGAUGGUGCCACGGCAAAGCAUUAUCGUUGCCUUUAGCCAAAAAAACCUUGCCUACCUCAUUGGCUCCAAGUAGUAUAAUCCAUUUCGCACUUUACCCAGUCCAAUCGGCUUCCUCAAGAGUAAGUCCUGUAUCACACAAAAAUCAGGUCCAAAAAUGAGUAAACAGUUCAAGUCACGAGUUAUUUUUGUUCACAGAUAGCAAAUUAAAAUGAAAAUUAGGCACGCCAAGAACUUUAUCCAUGGUUAAAUUGGGCCCAAGAUUCACUUGGCCCACAACAUGUACUAGCACAGUAUCACCAUUUGGAAUUUGGACAAGUGGGAUAUUAGAACUUUUAACCAUGUUGAACAAACUGUCAAUUUGAUGAGUGAUAUGAUCUAUGGCCCCAGUAUCAAUUAUCCACAAGUUGUUCUUGCAAGAUGAUUUACUAGAAAAUUUUGUAGUAUGGACAUUUGAGGCCAUGUUGAUUGUUGGUCCACUAUUAAAGUUGGACUCAUUUGUCUACUGGCCCAUUAGAUCCAUCAAUUACUAGGUAUUGGGCCUACGUAAGCCUAGGCACAGAUGAAUAAGGUUCGUGACCCAUGUCCGUUUCUCCCUCAACUGCAAAUGCAUGAGUCUACUUCACAACCACCAUCGUUGGCAUUUUUGUCUGAUCUUCCUUGGGUUUCUGUCUCCGCUGCCAAUCCGGUGGGUAGCCCACAAUCUCAUGGAAGAAUCACGAGUAUGCCCGAUUUCGUCAUAAUGAAUGCAAUGGGGACGAUUUCCUGCCCCUCUACAAUGGUCUCACCAAUCACCUAUCUUUUGCCCACUACCAUGCCUUGCACCUUCAAUUGUCUGAUUUCUCGCCGUCAAAGCAACUUUUUCGAGCACCGUGGGUAGUGAUGCAGCCAUUGCCAACUGCUUCUCUUCUUGUGCCGCUAUCACAUAAGCCCAUCCAAUAGUCGACAAGGGCUCCAAGCUGAGAAUUUGGGAACACACGGUUUUGUAGCUUUCAUCCAAUCCCAUCAAAAAGUUAAAUACCUUUUCUUCCUCACGCAUCUCUUGCAUUUGUCUCAAGACACCACAAAUGCACUUUCCACAAGUGUAAACCGGUAAGGGUAGAAAGCUUUGUGCUUUAUUCCAUAAAGCUUUCAAUUUUCCAUAAUAAGUAGAGAUUGGGACCUUCUCUUGUUGCAAAAGCAUAAUUGCUCGCUUGAGUUCAUAGACUCUAAGUGCAAUGCCUUGAGUGAAUCGUUCUUGGAAAUCAACCCAUAUUUCACUUGUAUUUUUUGUAUGUAUUGCUUCUCCCUACAUUUCUUUGACAAAGUAUUAAUUAGCCAAAAUAGUACUAUUGUAUUACACUGUACCCAACUUUGGAAAUCUAGGGACUUGAUUUCUAGCUUCAUAAUCGAUCUAUCCAGGUACCCUGGUUUGUUCUUGGAUUAGAGAGCAUUCAAGAAACUAUGCCUCUAAGUGAAGUAAUUAUUCUCAAUUUCACUUAAUGGAUGUGUAACAAAUAUUAGGCCAAAAUGAUUUGAGGGAUGUAAAUAAAAAGGCGAUUUGGUUUCGACUAAGGUACUGUUUAGUGUAGUCGUACCUAUGGUGGAUACCAAAUUCUCGUUACCCUUACUUAUUCCUUCCUUAUUCUUAUCGGCCAUUAGAGAAUUUUAGCUUAGGUUGUCUGCAACCUUACUUUGAGACCAUGAAGAGUUUGAAUACUCUCUUGAAUGAUUUAUUCGAUUAAUAUUCAUCCGUUUAUAUACAAGUCAUAGCAUCAAUAUAAAAGGAAAACAAUUUGUACAAUAAAAUGUAAUGCUUAAAUAAAGGUUAUAACGUCCUAUAAUUAAGGAAAUUAAGGGAAUUAGAUCAGAAAAUUAUAUCACUAAGUCAAAAAGCAUAUUUAUCAUGAUCUCCAGCAUAUUUGUCAUAUCUGUCAUGAUCCCUAACAUACCGGUUAUGAUCCUCAUUAUCUUUCAUUAUGAUAUAUGUCAUAAUUCUCUAAUAUCCUUUAUUAAAUGUUAUAUCAAUAUUUUUUAAUUUAAUUUUAAUUAUUUUUUAUCUUUUAAUUUUUAUUUUUUUAAUCUAUUAAUAAGACUACUCUAACAAAAUGAGAUGUCUACAACUAUCUUAUGUCCCUUCCUUAAUUUCUAGAAUAAAUCAUGAAACACGUUUUUAGCUCUAUAUAUAUACAUGUACAAAACAAGCUCUUUUCAUUUGCUUCCAUACUACCAAAGAAAAUUCCUCUUCAUAUUGAGCUCAAGAAAGAAACUAGCAAAAUUGUAAACAUGGAACUAGAAUCAACAAUCCUUUUCUCAUCUCUUUCUCUUAUCCUUCUUCUCUUUUGCUUCAAGUUGUUGUUUCAAAUCAAAACUUCCAAACAAAACCUUCCUCCAAGUCCAUCUCCUCUUCCUUUUCUCGGCCACCUCCACCUUAUAAAAAGACCCAUCCAUCGCUUUUACCAUAGUCUUUCCCAAAAAUAUGGCCCUAUUUUCUCCCUUCGGUUCGGCUCCCGCCUUGUAGUUGUAGUGUCGUCAUCAACAGCAGCCGAGGAAUGCUUCACCAAAAACGAUAUCGUUCUAGCUUACCGCCCCAAGUUACUCAUAGGCAAGUACCUUGGCUACAAUUGGAGCACGGUCGUUGCCUCACCCUACGGUGAUCAUUGGCGCAACCUUCGUCGGAUUGGUGCCAUCGAAAUCUUCUCAUCCAGUCGCUUGAACGCCUUUCUAAGCAUUAGAAAAGAUGAAGUCAAGCGACUGUUGAUGAAACUAUCGAGUGAUGAUAAUUCUGGACAAGAAUUUACCAAGGUGGAGUUAAAAUCUCUGUUUGUCGACUUAACUUUCAAUAAUAUUAUGAGAAUGGUAGCAGGGAAGAGGUACCAUGGUGGGGACAGUGUGACGGACGAAGGAGAGGCAAAGGAAUUUAGGGAGCUAAUGAAGGAGUCUUUUGCAAGUGGAGGAGUUGCCCAUCCAGGGGAUUUUCUGCCCAUUUUGAAUUGGAUUGGUGGAAGGAGUUACUUGAAAAAAUUGAUGAAUCUUGGAGAGAGGAUGGAUCGGCUUUUGCAAAAGUUGAUUGACGAGGUUCGAGCUAAGAGGCAAGGGAAUACUAUGAUUGAUCAUCUUCUUUCUUUGCAACAAACUGAGCCUGAUUACUAUACUGAUCAACUUAUCAAAGGCCUAAUUCUUGUAAGAGCCCUGACCACUACCUUAAAUUCUUAUGUUUUUUAUUUUAGAAAGAGGAGAUUUCAAUCCCACUUUUUGGCAAGCUAUAUAUAUAUACUUAUCACUGAAAUCAAAUACUCAAAAAUGCUAUAUUAAUUUUAAUGUUUAAUAAAAAAACCCAUAGUAAUUGGAUUUAGGGAUAAAAUGAAUAUAUAGUUUUGGCUUUGCAAAGAACAUUUUAGUUAAUCCCUUGUUUUCUUCCUUUAGGAUGUCAACCUCUAAUCAGAAAUUAAAUUUAGCCUUCUCUAAGGGAAAAAAAAAAUCAAACUAGUAAUGGGACUUUCGUGAUGAGAGCUCUAUAUAUAAUAUUUUCAAUUGUUUGGUGAACGAACGAUGGACAUUUUGAUGAUUCUAGUGAAACAUUAGCUUUAUUUGGGUUGAAUUAUAUUCAGUCCUGAGGCAAAGAAUUUUGUCCCACUCCAAUUUUCUUAUUAUUCAUUAAAACGGACAAGUGACGGUGAAUGCAGAUGGGCAUAGGUAACAUCCAAAAGCCAAAAAUAUAAAAUAUGUCCGACACGAUUUCUACUGCUCAAGAAUCUUCAAUCACAGUAACUUUUUGUCACGGGCAAAGUAAAAUUUUCAGCUAAUCGCAACUAGCUAGUAAGACUUAUGUUUUAGUGUCUUCGGCAGGAUUGCAAGGUUAUUAUUUUCUUUUUUUGGAUGAAAUUGAAAGGUUAUAUUAAAUCAAAACAGGUAUCGACAAGAAAAAACUAAUAAUUAAUGGAUGCCCAAACUAUUUUUUUUAAUUAGUACCUCAGAAGACUUUAUUGAUCUUAUCGAUUCGCAAAGUUUUUAUUUGGUUUAGGAAAUUGCACGUGCAUGCAAUUAUUAAUAUAUUAAGAAUGGUUUCCUCUCAGUCAAAUAGCACUGGAAUUUGCCAGUGAGGGAUGAGUGAUGGUCCAAGAUUGACUCAUGAUAGGCAUCCAGUCAAAUAGCACUGGAAUUUGCCAAUGAGGGAUGAGUGGUGGUUGAAGAAGACUCAUGUUAGGCAUGGUUCAAGCCAGUGGAUUGUAUAUGUGGACCACUUUGGAACGGAUCCAAGUCAAUGAUUCAUAAAAUCCAAAUUUUGUGGAAAGAGUUUGCUUGAGUCUGUAUUAAUUGGAAGGUAUCACGGCUGACACCACACGAUGGCUUAUCUACAAAAGAUAAGUCCGUGCUCUGACAAAAAACAUAAUGAGCUUAUAUUAAUUAGUUUUAUGAUACUUGUUGACCUUUCUCUUGCAUUGUCUUCUUUAGAAGAAAUAUAGAAUCCAUUCAAGAAAGUGUUUUAUUUUAACUUGUGUAUAGAUAUUAAUCUUCGUGAGAAUAAAAUUUACAGGUAGAAAUUAUAUAUUGUGUAGGUAAUGCUGCUAGCCGGAACUGAUACAUCAGCAGUCACAUUGGAAUGGGCAAUGUCCAAUUUACUCAACAACCCAGAUGUAUUGAAGAAAGCUAGAACAGAACUGGAUAGUCAAAUUGGUCAAGAAAAUUUGAUUGAUGAACCUGAUGUUUCCAAGCUACAAUACCUUCAAAGUAUCAUCUUUGAGACCCUUCGGUUGAACCCUUCAGUUCCUCUCCUACUCCCACACAUGGCGUCAACUGAUUGCAGGAUAUGCGGAUACGAUGUGCCACGUGACACGAUCGUAUUGAUCAAUGCAUGGGCUAUUCAUAGAGACCCGACAUUGUGGGAUGAUCCGACAAGUUUUAAGCCUGAGAGGCAUGGGAAUGGAGAGAGGGAAUCAAACAAGCUGAUGCCUUUUGGAUUAGGAAGAAGGGCGUGUCCUGGAGCUGGCUUGGCUCAACGAGUUGUGGGCUUGACCUUGGGCUCAUUGAUCCAAUGUUUUGAAUGGGAAAGAGUUAGUGAGAAAGAAGUUGACAUGGCUGAAGGUAAUGGAAUCACCAUGCCUAAAGUCGUGCCAUUAGAAGCCAUGUGUAAAGCUCGUCCCAUUGUCAACAAG